UUUUUUUUUUUUUUUUUGUGAAGCUUAAGGCCCUAUUUGGUAUUGUUUUCCAAAUGUUGUUUUCUUGAAAUAAAAAUAACAAUGAAAAUGUUAUUUUUAAAUUUUAAAAUAUAUUCAGUAUCAUUUUUGAAUACUUAUCUAGUAUUUUCUGAAUUUAGAAAAUAAAAAAUUAGAUUUGAAAACAAUAUUGUACGCACCCUAAUAUUUUAAUUAUCUCUUUUGAACUAUCUGGCUCUAUAGCAAUUUGUAAGGGAAAUAUUGUCUUUUGAUCAGUCUAUUAUCUUAGAACUAGGGUCUAAGGUCAUAUUUGGUAUUGAAGUAUGUACCUUUUGAGUUACAAUUGUUAUGAAAAAAAUACUGUAACUAUAAAGUAAAAGUUAAUAGUAUGUAAUAAAUAUAAUUUUUAAAUAAUAAUUUUUUAAAAAUGAGUAAAGAUAUAAUAAAUUUUUCAUCAUACAAGUAGAAAAUCAAAUCAAUUUAGUUUUCAAGCUAUACCAACUAGUGUUUAUCAAAUACUUUAAUGCUAUUUUUUUUAUCAAAUACUUUAGUGCUAUUCUUUUUACACUACAACCGUUCAACCUCAAUCCUAAAUAGGACAUAAGUAUGGAAAUUACUCGAUGAAUCAUCUUUUAAGUAUUUGAGUGAGAUAUUGUAGUGAUUUUUUUUUCUAAAUACUUGAAAAUUAAUCUAAUCUGCAAUGAGAUUCUUGCAGACUUCUUGUCGUAACUAUAUUGUCAAUAAUGAUAGUCACAUGCUUACAAUUUUUUUUAUGUGUUUUUUAAAGAAUGGGUAAAAUCCAAAUCAAUUUUUUUCUUAUAAUCUUUGUAAGAUUGGAACUCCAAUAGUCAAUCAAAUGAAACUAAUUAAAAAUUGGUUAAAUCCUUAGGUGGUCAAUCAAGUGCUUACAUGUAAUAACUAAAAUUAUAGAGAACUUAUAAUUACUUUUGUAAGCAACCCAAAGUAUAUUAAGACUAACUUGAAAUUCUAUCACGUCUUAGUAAAUACUCAAAAAAUUUACUUCAUACUGUUGAGAAAAUGAGUAAAAAAAAGCCAUGGAAUUCAAAUAGUGUCCUCAAUAUUAUUGUGAAUACCUGUCAGCAUUGAUUAAUUAGUCCAAUGGCUAUUUUUUUUUUUAGAAGAUAAGCAUGUAUUUGAUAUUAUUUAUGUUUUGCUAUUUUUCAUUUUCCAAGAAAAAAAAAAGUGUAAAAUUUGUUUGGUACACUUAUUUUAUGGUAUUUAAUUUCAAGUAAGAAUGUUUAAUCUCAUUCUCUAACUUUAGAGAAGAAAAUUGGACAACAAGGCAUUCAUGAUUUUCAAUUUUCAUUUUUUAAAUGGGUACUACAAGUACCACUUGAACAACAACAAAAUAAAAAUCAUGUCUGUCAUUAUGUGGGCCCAUUACCAAUAUUUAUUUUAUAAUCCAAUUCUAAUUAUCUUUAAUACUUUUUAAUUAUUUUUUAUUCAACAAUACUAAUUGUAUUAUUUGGUAAUUUUUAAAAGGUUCUCUAUUAGUAAAAUUUAUUUAUUAUUUAUUAUUUAUUCUAAUAUUAAUGAUACUCCCUAAAAAAUCAUUUUAUCUAAUUUUUUAUAAUUAAAAAUUUUAAAUAAUAAAAAGUAAUUGAAAUUUCAAAUAAUAAAAAAUUAAUUGAAAUAUAUUAUGAUUAAAAAUAAUUUUAGUUCAUCUAAAUAUUAUAUCAUAGUAUGUAUUUUUUUCUCACUCUCUUUUACCGUCUUCACUUUUUAAACAACUCAAACAUUUUGAAAUUUUCAUUUUAUAAGUAUAUUUUAGAAAGAAGGCUCAUUCUAUUAUGCCUUGAUUAACGUAACGGUAUCAAUACUGUAAUUAAACAUAAUUUAUGUAAAUAAAAUAUAAAACUUGUAAAUCAAUAUUAAUUGUAAAAUACAUAAAUUUUAGAAAUUAAACAUAAAACUUGUAAAUUGAAGGUAAAAUGAGUAAAUUAAUAUAAAACUCGUAAAUUGAUAUAUUAUUAGUAAAUAAAACAAAAACUUGUAAUAUAACAUAAAACUUGUAAAUUAACAUUAAGUGCAAAAUAAAGCACAAAUGUAAAUGGAGGAUAAAACAAGUAAAUUAAUAUAAAACUAGUAAAUUAAUGUAUUACUAGUAAACAAAACAAAAACUUGUAAAUAUAACUUAAAGCUAGUAAAUCAACAUUAACAAUAAAAUAAAGGGUCACCCUAUGUUAUGUUGAGUGUAACAUACACACACUCACAGCAACAGUAACAAGUCUCAUCAUUAACAUUGUUGCUGUGAGUGUGUGUAUGUUACACUCAACAUAACAUAGCAGUGGCCUAAAAUAAAACAAAAAUUUUAGAAAUGAAGUAUAAGACUUGUAAAAGGAAAGUAAAAACAAGUAAAUUACUAUAAAAUUAGUAAAUUUAUGUAUCAUUAGUAAGUAAAACGAAAACAUACAAAUAUAAUAUAAACCAAGUAAAUCAAUAUUAAGUGCAAAAUAAAACAUAAAAUUUGUAAACCAUGCUCAAAACUUAUGAAUAAAAGGUAAAAUAAGUAAAUUAAUCUAAGAGUUACUAACAAAAAAGCUCUUAUAAACUAAAAACUCAUUAUAAUAUUUAUUACCUUAUAUAUUUAAUGAUUUUUUUAAAUUAAAUUGCAUAAUGCUAGUUUUGCAUUUAUGUAGUACAUGUGAUGUUUUAUUAAGGAUGAAAUUUAUUCGCAGAAUUGGAUUUUGAAAAAAAAAACUAUUUUAAUAUCUUUCAUAGUUGUUGUAACAUGAGGUUAUUUUGCAUCCUUCUACACUUCUGCAACAACAACCCUAAAUGGUCUCUUAAGUACAAGUAAAAAGUUUGAAACUACAUGAAGCAUACAUAGAACUCAAAAUUAGAUAUAAUUUUAUUGAUAUAUCAUAUAUGUGUCUAGUAAUAUGAGAAUAAUUAUUUAUUUAUUUAUUCAUUUGCUUGAUCCACGUCUAGAUAAAUAAUUGCACUUAAUUAACUUGUGUAAUAAACAGAUAUCAUUAUAGAAAAUGGGAAAAAUUAUACAAAUGUCAUUAAAUAAAUAUAGAAUUUAUGGUUAAACCAAUUCAAUAAAAUAUAUUUCACUUUUUUUGUACAAUUUUUGUUUAAUUAAUGAGUAAUUUUUUCUUUAUAUUUUUGUAAAUGAAUACAAUAUUUUUCACUAAAAUUGUGCAGAAGCAAUGUUAAUUUUUUAAAUAAUUAAUAAUCUUGUAUGAAGUUACUUGUUUUACUUUAUAUUUACUAAUUUUAUAUGAAACUAGUAAAUAUAAAGUAAAGCAAGGAAAUUCAUACAAGAUUAUUAAUUAUUUAAAAAAUUAUAAAAACAUUAUUUGAAUGGCAAUACCAAUUGCACCCUAGUCCGUACAAUUUUACGUCAUUCAAUGUUGAUAACGUGGCUGGCACAAAGGCCAAAUCAAAGGCUGAGCGGGCAUCACAUGGGCCUUUGCCUGGAUCCUAACCUUCGCAAGCAAAGGCCCACGAUUCUAUCACCCAUUAAUCCUUCUAGAGAAUCUGCUAUAGAUGUAAAUGGACCCUCACUAUCUUUUUCACUGUUUUGAUUUUUCAAAAUUCCUUUUUUUUUAUUAAGUUUAAUGCAUUUUAUUAUCUCCCUGAAACUAUUUGGCUAUGGUAAUUGGCAAGGGGAAAAUUAUCUUUUAAACAUUCUAUUACCUUAAGACUACGGUCAAGUAUUGGAAACAUGGUGAAUCAUUUUUUAGGGAUUUCAGUCAACUUAUAAACAUUAUAGAGAUUGAUUUUUUUUUGCGAAAUAUGCGAAAAUAAAUGCAGCGCUACGAGGUUCUUGUAAACUAUUAAAUUCAAAUCAAUAAAAGUAGCAAUAAUAGCGUAAGUCCAGAAUCUAUCAUAUAUCAAUACCACUCUCAUACAGUUGUUGUUAAAUCAGGCCUAAAAAAUAUUUUUUUUUCUUUAAUUUAAUAAAAUUAUCAAAAGUCAGAUUUUUUUUUCUUGAUUACAUAAAAAUGCAUAAAAGUAGAGAAACACCUUAAAUUUCCUACUGAAGAUUUGAAGACAACUACUUUAAUUUUUUCCACUACCAUUAUUGGGAUCUGUAGGAUAUGGUUGUAGUUUUCUCGUCUAUCAUCAAUAGUCUCCCUCGCACAUGAGGGCAUAUAGAGAACUAUAAUUCCCAUUUCCUCUUCUUUAUAUAGGCACUUAUUAAAGUCAAGAUAUAACUAGAAACUAAGCUAACAAAGGGUAUCCAUGAACUUCCUAAAUCCAACUUCAUAGUUAAGUCUCAGUCAUAUUAUGACUCCCUAAAACAACUAAGUUAACCUUAAGCUAUUCUACUAAAAGUCUGAUGUCGCACUCUAAUGAACCAUGUAACAAAUAAAAGCCUAAUUAAUUAAGACUUCUUUUAAUUAAUAUUAGACAUGAUUUUAAACCAAUAAUUACCACUUAAUUGACUCUUUAUUUGAUCAUCUUAAUUAAAUCCAGCCCAUGAUAAAUUUUCUUUCUUUGUAAUUACAUAUAUAUCCCUUAGUCACAAUUUAUUCUAACUAUCACUGUUAAUAUAUUUGUAAAUAGAUUACAAAUAAAUGUGAUUAAUUAAUAAAUAAAUUAUUGAAUAAAUUAUAACCACAGAUUUAAAUGAUCAAUAUAGGGAUGGCAAAAUGCAAGCUUAGACUAGGCUUUUUCAAGCCCGUUAGAGGGAAAGUAUAAGGGCUAAGCUUGGGCCGGGGUUGGGUUGGGUUGGGUUGGGUUGGGCUUUCACUUAUUUUUUUCAUUUUUUAAAAAAAUUGUUAAAAACUUGAAAUGAAUUAAUAGUCAAUGAGUUGUUAUAAUCGGCAACGAAAUAAAGAAAAUGAAUGUUUCAAAAUAAAAUAAUAAAUAAAGAAAACACAACAAAAAAAAGUGUAGAGAUUUAAAUUUUUUAAUACUAGAUUUUUUAAUUCAAGUAUCUUCUUAAUUAAUUAACAUUUAAAAGAGAGUUUAUUAUUAUAAUUUUAGAUUUUUUGAUUCAUUAUUGAUAUAUAAAUUAGGGACUUAAGCUUUCUUUCUUUUUUCCAUUAUUUCAUAAAAGUUUAAUUUAUUAUUCAAAUUUCUAAUUUAUUUUUUGAAAAAAAAAUAGAGGGCGUGUGCCUAGAUUUUUUUUUACUUAAGCCCUUAUCCAGACCGUUCAUAUGGAGGCAUGAGCCAAAUCUCAUAGCAAUGGGCCGGGCUCAUCCCUAUGAUCAAAUACUACAAAUAGCUUAGGUAAGCAUCAUUUGUAUAGAUUCCAUCUUGUAAGUAUAUAUAUUUCUAUAAUCCAUGAAAUUAUAUCUCCAAAUUAUUAACGUUUUGACCGUUUAUACAAAUCUUACUUUGUGACGACUCAAAAGACAUAAUACCUGAAUGUGCGCUAGACUCCUUUACCCUUUAUUAGCGUUAUAUUACCCACUCAGAAUUAAGAUCGAUCAAGCUUAUUAAAGCUUGUAUAGAUUAUGAUUAGCAACAUAUGUUAGAUUAGAUCAUAAUUCAUUACAAUCUUGUUCAUUACAUAUAUAUCUCAUAUACAUACUAAUUUUUCUACUUGAAGUCUCUACUUCAGUAAUUAAGAUAAAGUUACUUAACAAUAAAAAUACAAAAUAUACAGCCUUAUAAAAAUAAAAUGACAUUUCAUUAAUGGAUGUGAAUAAUCUUUUAUUUUUAAAGAAUUUGUGAUUUUUAUCUUCUAUCUUGACAUCAUAUGUCCAAUAUAUAAAUCAAAUACUUUAUAAAUAAGGGCUAAUAAUGUAUGCUCAAAUAAAUAAUAAAUAAAUAAAUUUUAAUAAAUUCAGAAAUUUUUAUUUUAUUGCAUGCUGUAAGAGUACAAAAUAAUAAUGUACAAAAUAAUAAUAAGUGUACUAGUAAUUAUAUUGUCAAUAAUGAUACUCAAAUACUUAUAACUUUUUUUUUGUGUUUUUUUAAAAGUAAAGGGUGGUAAUACCAAAUCAGUUUUUUCGCAUCUAACCUUUGAGGAUUCGAACUCUAAUUACCAAACAAAUAAAACUACAUGGAAAUCAGCUAAGCCUAGGGCGGCCAAUCAAAUGCUUACAUGUACUAAGCAAAACAAAAGAGAACUUAUAAUUACUUUUGUAAACAACAAAAAGUAUAUUGAGACUGUUUAAAAAUCUAUUACGCCCUAGUAAAUACUCUAGAGUCUACUCCAUAUUAUUGAGGAAAAUGAUUGAAAAGAAAAAAAAUGGAAUUCAAAUUAUUAUCCUCGGUAUUAUUGAGAACAACUGUUACCAUUGAUCUACCAGCCCAAUAGCUAUUAUUAUUAGUUUUAUAUUAUAAUUCUCUACUGAAAAAUACAAUAUUAUCUCAUUUAGUGUUGAUGUAUGUGGCACAAAAACCAAAUCAAAGGCUACGCCACCUUCACCGGGGCCCUUGCCCAGGUCCCACCCACCACAACAAAAGGCCCGCAAAAAAUUGUUUAUAUUAUAUAUUUAUUGGGUAGUGAAUGGUGAUAUUUUUUAUUUCUUAAAAUACUAAUUAGAGACCAGGUUUGCCCAUACUCGCAUGUGUAAGAGAGAAUCCAUUAUUGAGAAGAAAUUAUCAGUUGGAUUUAGGAGGAGUUAUUUAUGAACAAUAAACUUUUGGCCAAAUAAUCCAAAUAUCAAACAAAUUUGAGGGAAUGCAAAGUGUAGACGAGUAAAAAUUCAAUAAAUGACUAAAGAUUCAAGAAAACAUGAGUAUUAUAAAACUGAUUAAAUUCAUAUUGAGUUUGAAGAUGGAAUAAAACACCAGUAUAAUUGUUUUCAAAUAAUCAUAUGUCUAUAAUUGUAAUUUAUGUUAUUGAUAUUUUAGUAACAAUUAAGUUUAUUAAAAUGUGAGUUUAAUGAGUAACCUAGAGGGUUAAUUAGCCUCAACCUUUAAAAGGUGUCAAAAGGCUACUCUUUGUAUAAUAUAAUAUACUCCACUUAAACUAACCCACUUAAUACUAAAAAUUAACCUUGUAAUGUUUUCUGAAUUAUUUUAGUGUUCAAUAUCAACAAUCAUGAUGUUUUUGAAUGAAACAUACAAAAUGUUUAUAAUGUAAAAAAGAAAUUAGGGUUAUAUGAUGUAAGAAAUUGUUGAACUAAUACAUGUAUAGAUGUAAAUAGGGUAGCAAAAUGAAUUCAUGAAUUAGGUUAAAAGUCGGUAAAUUCAAUAUAAUGAAUUGGGUUAGAAGUUUGAAACUCCAAAGUUUCUAACUUCGAUGUUUAAAUUACAAAUUCAUUAACAAUAGAAUAAACUAACCAUCCUAACUCUAAAAUUUCAACCGAACCAGUGAGCUUAAAUCCACAUUCAUAUUUUGAAUUAGGGUCCAGCUACAAUAAAAAUAUUGUUUCAUACACUAUUUUUUGUCUUUUUGUGAUCCAACCAUUGGAUUCAACUCAAGAGUUGCAAAAGCUAUUCCAACGGCAUGGAUGGACUUGCUUGGUUAUUAACGAUGCAGUCCCUUCUGUUUACUAAAAAAAAUAAGGAAAGAUUAAAUUUCAAAAUUUGACACAUUAGUCCAGUAAAAUAUUUUAUUGUAAAUGAACACAUUUAUAUAUUAAAAAUAUGGAUGGAUUAUUUUAAUUUGCUAAAACACUCUCCACUUCCAUUUACUUAAAAUACCAAUUGGAUUAUAAUAAUAUUAUCUUGUUUUUUGUGUAAUACAAUAUUGGAUAAGGUUUUAUAAAAUUUUUGACAAUAUCAAAAUGAAAAAUAAAUAAAUAUUAAAUAAAUACUUGGAUAGUCAUUUAAAUUUCAUUAUGGAGUUUAUAAAUAAUAUUUUCAAAAUAAUAAAUUUCUAUAUGUAAAUUUGAAAUUAUGUAAAAUUAUUUAUUCCUUAUUACACGUAUGAAGCUGAUUAAUUAUUUAUUUAAUGUGAAAACAAAUGCAUUGUAUAAUAUUUAUUCUAUUACUUAAAUUUAAAAUUAUAAAGAAUGAAACUUAAAUUUAAAAUUGUAAAGAAUGAAUAAUAACUUAAAUUAAUAGAUUAUGGGAGGAUACCUUUCAAAAAAAUUAAAAUUAACAAACUUUUUAGGCUUCUAACGUAACAUUUUUAAUUUUUGUUGUUAACAUAAGACAAAAAUUAAGUCUAAAAACCUCAUUCUAGGGUCUCCUUAGGGUAAAAAAAAAAAUCAUUAUCACAUGAUAAUUUGGUAGCCUAAGUUGUAUUAUUUUUAGUUUACUUAUUCAUGCCAAACACCUUAUUGAGAUUAAAUUUUAGUAAAGUAAACCCAUCCCACCAUCUUUAAUCACAUUCAAUAGGCCCUAAUUGAUUAGAUCUUGUUAUAUAAAGUAAUAUAUAACUCUUUCUUUAUUACAAUGGUAAAGAAAAAAAAACAUAAACACAAUAUAUUUCUUUUGAGAAAAUGCAAGUAUUAUGUUUUUUAGGUUUUGUGUUUAAGAAAUUAAUCUAAUUUAUGUAGUUAGAAGACUCUUAUUUUUUAUGUUUUAGAAGAAUUAUAUGUUUGAUAAUGAAUAAAUUAAGAUUUAAAGUAGGAAAACUAAUUUGAGAAGGAGAUAGAGAGAAUAAAUUUUUUAGAAUUUGAAAAUUAUUAUAUUUUAAUUGGGGCUUAUUACAUAAAAUUAUUAAAACAUAUGGUUUUUAUUAUUUAUAGAAAACAAUAGGGAUUGCUAAAGAAAACACUAAAUAAUUAUUUUAAUUUGAAAUUAUUAUAUUUUAAUUGGGGCUUAUUGCAUAAAAUUUUUAAAAUUUAUAGUUUUUAUUAUUUACAGAAAACUAUAGGGACUGUUAAAGAAAAUACCAAAUUUGAGGGUUUGGUACAACGGUUGCAAAGUAGUUUUGUCCUGAACUAGUGAGACUUUUUUUUUGGCAUAAUUAUAUUUAUUGUAUCAUUCAAUAAAUGGAUCUUAAAAAAAUAAACAAAUCAGUGGGACAUUCAAUUUGUUCACUUAACAAAUUCAAUCAAAAUUGUCCAUUUAUUAGACGAAUUAAUUUUUCAAACCUAAAUGCUUUUAAUUCAAAUAGAAUCAAUAAAUCCUUAUCUAUAUUAUUACCCCUAGAUGUAAACCCUUUUUAUGAGAAAAAAAAGGGUGUUUAUAUGAUAGAAGAAACUAUUGAAUUGUAUUUUUAAAUAUGUUAUAUAUUAUUGAUUUAUCUGUCAUUUUACUCUAGAGUGAAAUUGUAGCAAUAAAAAAUUGAGUAAAAUCUUUAAAUUUAUAUUUUUCAUGACUCACCGUAGAUUCUGGUAUUUCAUAGAUUAAUUCUUUAUUGGCUUAAAAAAAAUCCUACCCAAACUUAAAAAAUUAAGCUAAUAUAGACAUAACAUAAAAAUAAAUAAAUAUGAUAUAUAAUACAGAAUUUUGUAAAUUAUUUUUAAUGUUAAAUACAAGUAUUUUAAUAUUAUUGAUCUGCAAAAUAGAUUUUAUUAAAUUAAAACAUAUAUGAUAGAUUAAUAAUAUUAAAUUAAUUUUUUUAUUCAAAAUAAUUUAUAAAAUAUAUAACAAUUAUAUAUUAUAUUAUUUUAAUAUUAUAUUUUGUAUCUAUCUAUCAUAGAAGUUUAUUUAAAAUCAAUUUUUGGAUUGUUAAAAUCGAUGUGUAUAAUCAUCAAAAAACAUUUGUGUGAUUAUUUAUUAAACCAAGGAGGUCUAUAGCAACAUUUAUGUUCCCAAGGGGGUAUAUAUGCUUUUUUUCCCUGAUUUUUAGAUGAAUUAAUUCUUAAAUGUAUCUAUUUAUCAUUUACUGCAAAGAAGGUGAUCAAAUUAACCAUAAAAAAUACGCAAUGAAAUGUGUGAAAUGCCUGAAAGGCAAUAGGAACUGUGAAAAAUAUUUUUACGGAUUGGACUAGGCAAUGCGGGCCAAUAAUAUCUAGUCCAAAGAUGAGGCUGGGCCAAGUUUAAGUUUCACUUGAUAAAUUUAGAUUCGUCCAAAAACCUGAAUUUUAUGAAAAAAUAUUAUAAAAUACAUUAUUUUAAAUAACUAUAUUUAUUUGACCCAUAGAUUAUACAUAUUUAAAAUUUUAAAUAUUUAAAGUUCAUAUUUGAAAACCCAAAUUCAUUAAAUAAAAUUUAAAAAUCAUAAAACUAAAAUAGGUCCCUACAGCGCAACCCGCUUAGGUCGAAAGCCAUCCCAGCCUGGGCCAUUUGGGUCUUUGCAUUAACCUCAAAAGGAUAAAAAGUGCAUGAGGUAUAGGUGGGGGUGUUCGCGGAUCGGAUUUUACGAAUUGGACAUCAAUCCAUAUCCGAUCCAUGAUUUUGCGGAUUAUAAUUUUUUAAUCCAAUCCAAUCCAUAAAUUGAUAAAAUUCAAUCAAAAUCCAAUCCAUACAUCUGCGGAUCGGAUGCGGAUUUGACUCAAUCCAUAUCCAAUCCAUACGUCUGCGGAUCGGAUGCGGAUUUGACUCAAUCCAUAUCCAAUCCAUUUUGCGCAUUAGUUUUCGAAUUAAAAUUUUUUAGUUCUCUCCAACUAAUGAAAUAAAAAAAAAUCUAAUAUAAAAAUAAUUUUGCUACCAAUUAAAUUUAAAAUUGAAUAAAAUUUAAAUAAAUUAAUUAUUUAAAUAGAGUUAAAAUAAUACAUUUAAAGUUUCAAAAUAUAACAAUCGAGACUAAUUAUUUAAAUAAAGCUACAAUAAUACGUUCAAAGUUUCAAAAUAUAACACACCAAGCUUAAUUGUUCAAAUAAAGUUACAAUAAUACGUUAAUAUAACACCGAAAUUAAUUGUUCAAAUAAAGCCACAAUUAAUUGAAAUGGCGAAGUUUUGGAAACCAAACACGGUCUGAUCCUUCACUAGGGUUGUUGCGCCUGUUGAAAAGUGGUGAUUACUGAGCCGUCCACGAUGGGAACCAGGAGAAGCCGUACGGGUGGCGAUCUUGAAGGUUGUGAUAGUGAAAUUGUUCAGCUGGAACCAGUGAAUGUGAAGUGGCUCGAUGGACUUGGGAAAGAAGAUGGCUUGCUCUCACUGGGAUCGCACGGCCGAUGUCCUUCAAAUCCGUGUCGAGAGUGUAUCCAACCAGUAUUGAGUGUUGUUAGUGUGCGUGACGACGGAGAAGCUUAGGGUUUUUUGUUUGCAAAUUGUUGGUGACUUGACAACAUGUUAUUUUACUUUUGGGUGACUUUGCAAAUUGUUGGUGACUUGACGUUAUGUUACUUUACUUUUGUUAGUGCGUGUGACUUUGCUUUUAUUUUGUUUUACAAUUUUUACACGUUAUAUUUGUAUAUUUGAUUAUUUAAUUAUUUUUUAUUUUUUAUUAUUAUUGGGUAAUGGCUAAGAUAUGUUAUAGUGCUUAUGUAACUAUGUAAUGUCACAUUUAUAAUUUUUUUAAUUAAAUUUAUAAUAAUUUUUUAAUUAUCUAUAUAUAUAUAUAUAUAUAUAUAUUAUUUUAUUUUUUUUGUGCGGAUUCACGGAUUUUUACAGAUUUACAGAAGUAAAUUCAUAUCCAAUCCAUCAAUCCACGGAUCGGAUUUAUACGAAUCGGAUUGAGUGGAUCAGACGGAUUGAGUGGAUCGGAUUGGAUUCUGAACACCUCCAGGUAUAGGUUUUAACCGAAAGAACUUCUUGCGCAAUUCAUGCGUUUCUGCUUUUAUGACCAGAAAUUGUUUCUUGAUUUGAUUUCCAUUUCAAAUUGUUCUCUGGACUUUUUAUCAAUAUGAGGUGAUUGCAAAUAAACAUAUAUAAUAUUAUAAAAUAUAAAUCUGGAUUUUUUAAGCCCAUAAAAGAAAGUCCAUUUGGGGCCGAGAUUUUAGGCUCAACCUCAGUGUUCAAAAAAACAUGCUUGGGCCAAAUUUGAGUAUUGCCAUAUCCGGGACCGACUUGAGUUUUUACCAUGACUAAGCAUAAUCAAUUGGUUCAAAUAAUUUAAUUUCCGGUAAAAUGAUGUGAAAAAUUGUGAAUCAAUUUGGUAAUCUCGUAGAGGCCACUUUGUAACACAGUAAAAGUAUUCAAUUGAUCUGAAAUCAUUGAAUAAUUUUUUGUUGAGGAAGGAUGUCACGUACAACAACAAGAAACAUAUAAUGCUACAAUAAAUUUAGAUCAGCAAUAAUGUUUAGGAUCCUAACAUUUGAGUCUCAACUUGACUCUCAAUGAUAUGUGUCACUCAUCAAUUGAAUAAUGGAUAUAAUAUCUAGUAAAAUUAUUUAACCACCAUUCAAUAGAUGAAUUCCACGUCAGUAGGAACUCAAAUUAAGACUUAUGUUGGGACAUCUAGCAUUGCUCUUCACAUCAGUGGUGAGGCUCCAAGUGGGUUGGGAAAUUUUUAGAAAAUUUACAAAAAUAUCAUAAUGCAAAGUUUAUAAAAUUGCCACUAUUUUAUUUACAGUAGUACCACUCUAUUAAUUUACAAUUUUGUCAUUCAAAUAAAUAUACAGAAAAAAGGGAGCAUUUACUUCAUUCAAGAUUCCAGAACGUGCUUUCUUUCUUGGCUUCUUCAGUUCUUCGUCUUCUUCUUGACAAGAAUAGAUAAUACAUUUAUUGUUUAUUCAAUCAUUUACAGUACACUUAUUAAUUGUUAGGUAGUAAAGACUAAAGAUUAUAUUAUUUAAUUCUUGUUCCAAUUUCAUUGUGUAAAAUUAAAUUAUUGUUGGGUCAAAUGAAGAUAAUUUAGCCAUUAAAUUCUAGCAUUCAAAAAUUUAAAUUAAUUAUUGAUAGAGAUGGAUCAUAGAUUCAAUUCAGUACAUUAUACAUAAAGUUAAUUUGUUAAUUGAAUUUAUUGUUUGGCUUCUGGAUAGUGUUAAUGUGUCGUAGUGACAGAUUGACGGUUCUAUGACUUUUAUUAGUAAAUUUGUGAUUAUUUCUUCUAACUUCUUUUAUAUUUAUACCAUGUUUUGACUGAAACACCCAAACGAGCAUAGACACGACUUCAAAAUAAGGAAGAGAAUGAAUUUUUAUCAAAUUGUAUAGUUAUCUACGUUAAAAGAGAAUUUGUAAACACCGUUAAUUUAAAUUCGAUAAUAGAUGGAUUUAAUUCUCGAAAGUAUGGUAAAUUACUUCUUAGACAUGAUAUAUUUUCUUAUGUAUAACAAAAUUUUCUUUCAAAUUUAUAUUUUUAACCAAGAUAAUAUUUGGAUUUGGAAAAAAUUUAGCCUACCCAAGAUAUUUUUUCUGGCUUCGCCCCUGAUUCAGAUCAUCUAAACUUCCAGAAAUUUCAGAUAAAUAUUACUCCAUUUUGAUUUGUUAUUGUUUCUCAUAUAUUUGCAUAAACACAUUACAUUGUUUUUGCGCUCACUGCAGAAGAUACAAUGAUUUAGUUUUACUUACAACACUGCAUAGGAACUCAAUACAAUAUUCACUAAAUGCUUGUGGAAAGUGCAGAAAGGUACUGAUAGGGUCUCGUAUGAGAACACAAUGAUUUUACCCACAACAGAACCUAGGAACUACAUGCAAUUGCAAAAUCGGUACUAAGAAGCAGAAUACCAAUGCCCUUUAUGAAGGUUUCCACGAAGACAGAGGUGGAGUUUCAGAGUCUUCGUAGGUAGGAGUGACACCCCCAUACCGAUGACCCCUUACAGCAUCUGCUGAAGCAAUAGAUUCAAGCUCAGCCAUUUCUUCUGGAGAAAGUUUCACUGACAGAGCUUUAAUAUUUUGAUUGAGGUUUUCAAUCUUGGUGGUUCCAGGAAUCGGACACACGUCAUUUCCUUGGUGAUGAACCCAUGCUAAUGCAAGCUGAGAUGGGGUGCAUCCUUUCUUUACUGCUAUUUCAUUAACACGUUCAAAUAGCUUUUUGUUAUGCUCUAAAUUUUCAGGUUGGAACCUCGGUAGAUGCUGCAAGAUUUAGAAAACAGCUCAGUACCAAAACUGAACUGCAAUUGAAUCAUUAAAAAAAAGAACAUCAUUUUGGAUAAGAGUAAUGAUACAGCCACAAACUCUUGUACAAACUUAUUUUGUACAAACUGAUGUGGCAUGAUAAGAUUGGUUGAAUUAAAUAUCACUUGGCCCACAUGAUUUAUUUUUAUUAAUUUAUAUUUUCAUUCAACCAAUCUUAUCAUGCCACGUCAGUUUGUACAAAAUAAAUUUGUACAAGAGUUUGUGGCUGUAUCAUUACUCUUUGGAUAAAGCAUGAUUUUAGAGGAGGUUUAUGUAAAAUUCAAUAGACCAGAAAACAAAGAAAAAGGACUAGUCGGGGACUUCUCCUAGGUGGAGGAUGUUUAUAGUAAAACAUUUUGGCAUGUUAGACAAAGGUCUCACAAGAAAUAAACUCUCCUUGGACUUGUCAAUUGAUUUCACAUUGACGUGCAUAGGCAAAGCAAUAUAACAAAAAUGGAAACUGCCACAAGGAUGUAGAAGUUUGGAAGAGUCAUUACAGCUAAACUUCUUGAGCAUCCAGUAAUAGUUUUGAGGUAAUGGAACAAUUUUUUUCCCUCAUUUUUUUUUUCACCUCUAUACAACUUAAGGGGUAUUAUCAUGUAUAUAAAUUGAAUCAGUCAUGUUAAAAUUUUCUGUCCAUCAAUGAAGUAAUUGCAUAGAUAAUUCCUCAUAUUUUCAAUGCAAAGAAAGCUUUUGCUCAUAUUUGAGGAGGUUAAUGAACAUAAUCUGAGGGAAACAAUUGAAAUCUAUGAAGAAUUUCAGAGCUAUAGAGUAAAACUAAACAAGAAUUAUUAUUGUAUUGCUAAAUGAGAAUGAAUGUGUAAUAAAGAAGACAAGUAAUGUAAAUAUGAUGAAAGUAAAAAUACACGAUUAGUAAACACCAAACAUUUAGCUAAUGAUGAAUAAGUUUUGGUAGACAAGUCACUUCAAAAAGGAUUACAGUGUAUUCAGUCCUUAGUAAUUGAAUUUUCAUUUUUCCUCAAUCCUCUCGAUGCAAUCCAUACACAGGCAACUUCAGUGUAAUUAGACGAUCGAAAUGAACUAGUAGAAUAUCUAAGAAAGAGAAUUCUUAAACAAGUCCUACUGGGUUAGGUUAGAAUAACUAUAACUAUGGCUCUAGAUAAAUAUCAGAGGUUUAUAAGAUAAAAUAGUAUGCAAGUCACUGUAGAGUAUCUUGAGAGAAGGUUUUAAACAUGCUUGCAGACAUCGAAUAAUAAAUGCAUGGUAGGCUUACGGACAUGUCUAGAAUCAUCCGGUGCAAUGCUUUCAACCAACUUUGGCCCGGAUGAAAGAAACCCACGUCCUAGAGGACUGUAAGCAACAAUUCCAAUGCCAAGUUCCCUGAGCAGAGCAACCACCAAAAUUGCGUUAGCAUGCAAAUGUUAAAUCAUCUACUCAUAAUUUCUUUUCCUUUCAACUAGGUCAAAACAAUUCAUUUGGCCCAAAUAAUGUCUUACCUGCAAGUAGGAACAAUCUCUUCCUCCACAUCUCGUGACCACAAGGACCAUUCCAACUGCACAGCUGUUAUUGGAUGGACGGCGUGAGCUCGUCUAAUUGUUGAAGCAGAAGCCUCGGAUAGACCUAUAUACUUUAUUUUACCCUCUUCAACUAGUUUCUUGAGUUCCCCAAUCUUACAAAACAACACAAGUAAAAGAAUUAGUACAUGAUAACAGAAACCUCACCCACCGAAGUGACCCAUGUCUGUAUUUUUAAAUAUUCUGUGUUUCAUGUUCAUUGGCAGCCGAGCUACCCAGAGACUAACAGACUAAUAUAGUUUAACAUGCAUGAUUGAGACAAAUAUAUAAAUUAAAAGCGACAAACCGUGACUUCAAUGGGGACUUUAGUGUCAAUGCGAUGUUGGUAAUAAAGAUCAAUACAGUCAACAUCCAGACGCUUCAAGCUGGCCUCACAUGCAGCUCUUACAUAAGCAGGAUCCCCACAGAAUGAGUACUGGCCAUCCUCAUAUCUGAUACCAAAUUUAGUAGCCAAUUCAACUCUUCCUCUGUACCCUCCUUUCAGAGCCUAAUCCCAAAACCAAAUUAAUCAAAGUGAAUAUAUUAUUAUUUGCCAAUUCCAAACAUACCCUUUUGAAAUUAAAGGAAGGAAAUAGAAGAUAAAUUACAUUACCUUGCCCAGAAGGAUUUCAUUUGUGUGAGGUCCGUAAGCAUCGGAAGUGUCAAGUAAAGUGAUGCCACUGUCAAUGGCAUGGUGGAUCAAGGCUAUCAUAUCGGAUUCGGGCUUCGGGGGCCCGUAGAAGGCGGACAUGCCCAUGCAUCCUAAGCCUUGCGCUGAAACCUCUAGACCUUGUGAACCCAGCUUGAUUCUCUUCACUGCCCCCGCCAUUUCUCUUCUAUUAGCCUCUCAACUUUCUGUUGAGUGAGGUUGCUGUUUCUAAGCGAACAAUCUAUAUAUGUAGAUAUAUUGCUCUGCGGGCCUCUCAAAACUCGUAAUGCUAACGUAAUGGAAUAUGUUAGCAUUUACCUCAUUAACUUUACAAAAUCACACAAGAGAGUAGUUAGAUAAAUAAUCGAUACGUCAUAAUGUUAUUUAUUAAUUAUAGAAAAAAUGACAAACACAACUCUAACAUUUAGAUAAAGGGAUAAAAAUGUCUCUAACGUUUUGAAAAAGAAAUUUACACCUCUAUUCACUAAUGAAAACAAUUACUUUUAACGAAAAUAGUAAUUUUAAUAUAUAAUUACCGUUAUACUAUUUUAGCACAUAAAAAUAUAAUUAUUAAUUAUCUGAUUUGUCCAUAUAUUGUUAAUAAAAUUACAAAAAUACUCUCAUUGACCAAUUCCUCUAUUUAAUUUUUUAUCAAAUUAUCUCUUCAAGCCAAAUAAAUUUAAUCCAUUAUCAAUUUUUAUGUCUAUUGGAUAUGUUAUUUAAUACAAUUAAGAUAAGAUUUUUGUAAUUAUUGUUGUAACCAGCCCUUUUUAUUUUAUUUUGUUGAUUAUACAAGUUAAAAUGAUUGACAUGUAGAGAAUUGUUAUUCUUAUGGCAUUAAUAACUAAUUUUAUUUAUUUUUAUUCUUGAGUAAUGGAUUAAAUUUAUUUGGCUUGAUGAGAGAAUUUGAUAAAAAUUUAAACAAUUAUUUGAGCAAUGAGGGUAUAUUUAUAAUUUUAUUAACAAUAUAUGGACAAAUUGGACAAUUAACAAUUAUUUUUUUAUGUGUUAGAACGGUAUAACGGUAAUUAUCUAUUAAAAUUACUAUUUUCGUUAAAAAUAAUUGUUUCUAUUAGUGAAUGGGGACGUAAAUAUCUUUUUUAAAAUGUUAGAAAAUUUUUAUCCCUAUGUCUAAAUAUUGAGGGUGUGUUAGUCAUUUUCCCUUAAUUAUAUUACUGGCAUAAUGCUUCACAAAUAUUUUAAAAUCUUUCCAAUCGAACAAUUAAAAGUUGGCCCAAACUGGCGGCUAAGGGCUGUCAAAUUAACAAGAUGUGGGAGUAUGAUUUUAUCAUAUCAUGAUAAUGGAAGCACUUGAGAAGCCAGGUCUUUCAUGGGACCAAAAGAAAUAUUGGCUUCUACUCAAGUUGGUUGCUUCCUUGGCUUGAGACCUGUAAAGCUGGAACUUGUUCAACAAAGACUUGGCAAAAUCCAUUGCCUUUAAUCUGUUUUUAACAUAAAGUAUAAUAACAUGGCCAGUGGCAAAUUGGGAAUGUCAACUAGUAUCCACUAUUUAUUUGAUUAUUUCUAUGAUUUUAAGAUCUGCCCUUGGAAUCUGGACUUUGUGGUGCUGGAUGUAUUUGAUUAUAUAAAUGUACUAAUAUCGCUCUCAUGAGAUGAUUACUGAAUUUGAGUGGACCAAAAAAGUUAAAAGAUUAAUAAAUUAAUUAAAUUGGAGAUUUGGAGUCAUAAUCAAGUGUUUGCAUGGUGGUCGUGGAAAUAUUUUGGAUCCCACCGUGGAUUUACAAUAUAAAUGUUGAAGGCGCUGUUGAUCCCACUGUCCCACAUGGCAUGACUUUGCAACAUCUCAUCUGCUUUAUAUUAGAAAUCCUAGAAAUUAACCAGAUGUGGGAGUAAUAAUAAUUCUCCACUAAAAAAGCCAAAUCCAGGGCUGCGCCGGCUUCGCCUGCACCACGAGCAAAGGCCCACUUAUUUGCGUCACCCAUUACAGCAUCUGAUAUGGAUUAAACCCAAACACUUAAAGUAGGAUUUAGUUCAAAAAGUUUUAAUUUAAGUUGGAGUAUUUAUUUUUCUUUUUUUUCAAUGUUUAUAAUGAGGUUCAACAUUUAAAAUAAACAACAUAUUACUAUUAUUUUUAAAAUUUAAGAGGAAAAAUAGAAUUUGAGUUUUUGAGAAUGAAAUAUAUAGAGAAAUAAAAUUAUAUGGCUAUUGAAAUUUGAACCAAGUCUCUAAAAUCACUAAAAAGCACAAUUAUCACUAAAUUAUAAGUAUUUUGUUAUAUAAAAAAUAUGCCCAAAUUCUUUUUAUUUAAUUUUUUUAGAAAGAGCUCAGGGUACAUUUUAAAGGAAAAGUAAUGGUCUAGGAAAGGCUUCAUAAUUGCCCAGGAGGAGCCGCCCAUGACUGUCACUAUCUUUCAAAAAAUUUUGACAAAAAAAAGUAAUUUUUAUUUUUUUUUUGUGAAGCUUAAGGCCCUAUUUGGUAUUGUUUUCCAAAUGUUGUUUUCUUGAAAUAAAAAUAAGAAUGAAAAUGUUAUUUUUAAAUUUUAAAAUAUAUUUAGUAUCAUUUUUGAAUACUUAUCUAGUAUUUUCUGAAUUUAGAAAAUAAAAAAUUAGAUUUGAAAACAAUAUUGUACGCACCCUAAUAUUUAAAUUAUCUCUUUUGAACUAUCUGGCUCUAUAGCAAUUUGUAAGAGAAAUAUUGUCUUUUGAUCAUUCUAUUAUCUUAGAACUAGGGUCUAAGGUCAUGUUUGGUAUUGAAGUACUGCACCUUUUGAGUUACAAUUGUUAUGAAAAAAAUAUUGUAACUAUAAAGUAAAAGUUAAUAGUAUGUAAUAAAUAUAAUUUUUAAAUAAUAAUUUUUUAAAAAUUAGUAAAGAUAUAAUAAAUUUUUCAUCAUACAAAUAUAAAAUCAAAUCAACUUAGUUUUCAAGCUAUACCGGCCAGUGUUUACCAAAUACUUUAAUGCUAUUCUUUUUACCAAAUACUUUAGUGCUAUUCUUUUUACACUAUAGUCGUUCAACCUCAAUCCCAAAUAGGACAUAAGUAUGAAAAUCACUCGAUGAAUAAUCUUUUAAGUAUUUGAGUGAGAUAUUAUAGUGAUUUUUUUUUUCUAAAUACUUGAAAAUUAAUCUAAUCUGUAAUGAAAUUCUUGCAGACUUCUUGUCGUAACUAUAUUGUCAAUAAUGAUAGUCACAUGCUUACAAAUUUUUUAUGUGUUUUUUAAAGGAUGGGUAAAAUCCAAAUCAAUUUUUUUCUUAUAAUCUUUGUAGGAUUCGAACUCCAAUAGUCAGUCAAAUGAAACUAAUUAAAAACUGGUUAAAUCAAGUGCUUACAUGUAAUAACUAAAAUUAUAGAGAACUUAUAAAUACUUUUGCCCAGAAGGAUUUCAUUUGUGUGAGGUCCGUAAGAAUCGGAAGUGUCAAGUAAAGUGAUGCCACUGUCAAUGGCAUGGUGGAUCAAGGCUAUCAUAUCGGAUUCGGGCUUCGGGGGCCCGUAGAAGGCGGACAUGCCCAUGCAUCCUAAGCCUUGCGCUGAAACCUCUAGACCUUGUGAACCCAGCUUGAUUCUCUUCACUGCCCCCGCCAUUUCUCUUCUAUUAGCCUCUCAACUUUCUGUUGAGUGAGGUUGCUGUUUCUAAGCGAACAAUCUAUAUAUGUAGAUAUAUUGCUCUGCGGGCCUCUCAAAACUCGUAAUGCUAACGUAAUGGAAUAUGUUAGCAUUUACCUCAUUAACUUUACAAAAUCACACAAGAGAGUAGUUAGAUAAAUAAUCGAUACGUCAUAAUGUUAUUUAUUAAUUAUAGGAAAAAUGACAAACACAACUCCAAUAUUUAGAUAAAGGGACAAAAAUCCCCCUAGCAUUUUAAAAAAUACAUUUACACCCCUAUUCACUAAUGAAAACAGUUACUUUUAACGAAAAUAGUAAUUUUAAUAUAUAAUUAUCGUUAUACCAUUCUAGCAUAUAAAAAUAUAAUUGUUAAUUAUCUAAUUUUUCCAUAAAUUAUUAAUAAAAUUAUAAAUAUGCCCUCAUUGACCAAUUCCUCUGUUUAAUUUUUUAUCAAAUUAUCUCUUCAAGCCAAAUAAAUUUAAUCCAUUAUCAAUUUUUAUGUCUAUUGGAUAUGUUAUUUAAUACAAUUAAGAUAAGAUUUUUGUAAUUAUUGUUGUAACCAGCCUUUUUUUUUAUUUUGUUGAUUAUACAAGUUAAAAUGAUUGACAUAUAGAGAAUUGUUAUUCUUAUGGCAUUAAUAACUAAUUUUAUUUAUUUUUAUUCUUGAGUAAUUGAUUAAAUUUAUUUGGCUUGGUGAGAGAAUUUGAUAAAAAUUUAAACAAUUAUUUGAGCAAUGAGGGUAUAUUUAUAAUUUUAUUAAUAAUAUAUGGACAAAUUAGAUAAUUAAUAAUUAUUUUUUUAUGUGUCAGAAAAGUAUAACGGUAAUUAUAUAUUAAAAUCACUAUUUCCGUUAAAAAUAAUUGUUUCCGUUAGUAAAUAGGGGUGUCUUUUUUAAAAUGUUAUGAAAUUUUUAUUCCUUUACCUAAAUAUUGAGGGUGUGUUAGUCAUUUUUCCUUAAUUAUAUUACUGGUAUAAUGCUUCACAAAUAUUUUAAAAUCUUUCCAAUCGAACAAUUAAAAGUUGGCCCAAACUGGCGGCUAAGGGCUGUCACAUUAACAAGAUGUGGGAGUAUGAUGACUGACUCACAGCGGGCCUCACAAACUCGUAAUGUCAAUAAUGUAAUGGAAUACGUCUAGAUCUAAUGAACGAUCAAUUAAAUGGUUAUAUGUAAUAAUUAAUAUUAAAGAGAAUUUAUGAUUGCUACCAAAAAUAUAUUGAGGACAACUUGAAAAUCUACUACGGUCUUAUAAUUAAAAAAAAAUGAAUUUUUAGAGAAUAAUAAUUCUCCACUAAAAAAGCCAAAUCAAGGGCUGCGCCGGCUUCGCCUGCACCACGAGCAAAGGCCCACUUAUUUGCGUCACCCAUUACAGCAUCUGAUAUGGUCCAGGGAUGGCAAAAUUUUUCAGACCCGGCCCGGAUCCAGAUAAAUCCGGACGAUCCGGUCCGGGUUAAACCCGCUCUGGGUGCAUAAAAAUACAGAUUCGAGUAGUAUUUUUUUAAAUCCGGAUACAUGCGAGUCCGGUUGCGGAUACCCGGAUUCUGAGAACCCGGACCUGCACUACAGUAUUAAUAAUUAAUUAAUUAAUUUUUAUUAUUAAAUAUAAAUAUAAAAGCCAAAAGUUAAAAAAAAAAAAAGUAAAGAAAUGAAAAGAAACCCUAAAUCCCCACCCCAGCCACCACCUUUAUUGUCCUCUUCCUCGACAUCAAUUCAAUUCAUCAUCAUCCACCCAUCAUCAAUUCAUCAUCAACAAUAAUAACAAUCAAUAUCAUCCUCAACAUCAAUUUAAAUCAUUGUCAAUUCAUCAUCAAAAGCAACAAACAAUCUUUGGCACCAUCAAAUUCAACCUUAUCUCUCAUCUCUCAUCAAAUUCGAUCUCAUUUCUCUCUUGUUCUUGGAUGCUAGAUCUCAACCCUUGCUCGCUGCUCUCAUGGCUGCCGCCUCCUGGACUCGCUGGUGCCUCAACCGACACCUCAAAGAAACUGCUAAUCCACUCUUGCCGCCGCGCGAUCUCAUCUCUCUCUUGUUCGUGGAUGCUGGAUCUCAAACCUUGCUCACUGCUUUCAUGGCCGCUGCCUCCUGGACUCGCCAGUGUCUCAACCGACACCUCAAAGAAACAUCUAAUCCACUCUUGUACAGAGUCAAAAGGGGCAUGCAUAAAGGCUUCAUUGUUCCAGCCUCCAACUUUCCGGGUUUAAAGCCCGCAAUCGGGAAACCCGGAUUUUCCGGGUUGAACCCGUACCGGACCCGGAGAAAGAAAAUGCGGGUUUUUAUCCGGAGCCGGGAAGGAGAAUUGGCAUAUGGGUCCGGAACCGGAAAUACCAAACACGGACCCGGACCCGUUUUUGCCAUCCCUAGAUAUGGAUUAAACCCAAACACUUAAAGUAGGAUUUAGUUCAAAAAGUUUUAAUUUAAGUUGGAGUAUUUAUUUAUUUAUUUUCAAUGUUCAUAGUGAGGUUCAACAUUUAAAAUAAACAACAUAUUACUAUUAUUUUUAAAAUUUAUGAGGAAAAAUAGAAUUUGAGUUUUUGAGAACGAAAUAUGUAGAGAAAUAAAAUUAUAUGGCUAUUGAAAUUUGAACUGAGUCUCUAAAACCACUAAAAAGUACAAUUAUCACUAAAUUACAAGUAUUUUGUUAUAUAAAAAAUAUGCCCAAAUUCUUUUUAUUUAAUUUUUUUAGAAGGAGCUCAAGGUACAUUUUAAAGGAAAAGUAAUGGUCUAGGACAGGCUUCAUAAUUGCCCAGGAGGAGCCGCCCAUGACUAUCACUCUAUCUUUCAAAAAUUUUUGACAAAAAAAAGUAAUUUCUUUUUUUUUUUUUGUGAAGGUUAAGGCCCUAUUUGAUAUUGUUUUCCAAAUGUUGUUUUCUUGAAAUAAAAAUAACAAUGAAAAUGUUAUUUUUAAAUUUUAAAAUAUAUUCAGAAUCAUUUGUGAAUACUUAUCUAGUAUUUUCUGAAUUUAGAAAAUAGAAAAUUAGAUUUGAAAACAAUAUUGUCCGCAUCCUAAUAUUUUAAUUAUCUCUUUUGAACUAUCUGGCUCUAUAGCAAUUUGUAAGGGAAAUAUUGUCUUUUGAUCAGUCUAUUAUCUUAGAAUUAGGGUCUAAGGUCAUGUUUGAUAUUGAAGUACUGUACCUUUUGAGUUACAGUUGUUAUAAAAAAAAAUGUUGUAAUUAUAAAGUAAAAGUUAAUAGUAUGUAAUAAAUAUAAUUUUUAAAAAUAAUUUUUAAAAAAGUAGUAAAGAUAUAAUAAAUUUUUCAUCAUACAAGUAUAAAAUCAAAUCAAUUUAGUUUUCAAGCUAUAUCAGCUAGUGUUUACCAAAUACUUUAGUGCUAUUUUUUUUACCAAAUACUUUAGUGCUAUUCUUUUUACACUACAACCGUUCAACCUCAACCCUAAAUAGGACAUAAGUAUGGAAAUUACUCGAUGAAUCAUCUUUUAAGUAUUUAAGUGAGAUAUUGUAGUGAUUUGUUUUUCUAAAUACUUGAAAAUUAACCUAAUCUGCAAUGAGAUUCUUGCAGACUUCUUGUCGUAACUAUAUUGUCAAUAAUGAUAGUCACAUGCUUACAAUUUUUUUUAUGUGUUUUUUAAAGGAUGGGUAAAAUCCAAAUUAAUUUUUUUCUUAUAAUCUUUGUAGGAUUGGAACUCCAAUAGUCAAUCAAAUGAAACUAAUUAAAAAUUGGUUAAAUCCUUAGGUGGGCAAUCAAGUGCUUACAUGUAAUAACUUAAAUUAUAGAGAACUUAUAAUUACUUUUGUAAGCAACCCAAAGUAUAUUAAGACUAACUUGAAAUUCUAUCACGUCUUAGUAAAUACUCAAAAAAUUUACUUUAUACUGUUGAGAAAAUGAGUAAAAAAAAGCCAUGGAAUUCAAAUAGUGUCCUCAAUAUUAUUGUGAAUACCUAUCAGCAUUGAUUAAUUAGUCCAAUGGCUAUUUUUUUUUAGAAGAUAAGCAUGUAUUUGAUAUUAUUUAUGUUUUGCUAUUUUUCAUUUUCCAAGAAAAAAAAACAGUGUAAAAUUUGUUUGGUACACUUAUUUUAUGAUAUUUAAUUUCAAGUAAGAAUGUUUAAUCUCAUUCUCUAACUUUAGAGAAGAAAAUUGGACAACAAGACAUUCAUGAUUUUCAAUUUUCAUUUUUUAAAUGGGUACUACAAGUACCACUUGAACAACAACAAAAUAAAAAUCAUGUCUGUUAUUAUGUGGGCCCAUUACCAAUAUUUAUUUUAUAAUCCAAUUCUAAUUAUCUUUAAUACUUUUUAAUUAUUUUUUAUUCAACAAUACUAAUUGUAUUAUUUGGUAAUUUUUAAAAGGUUGUCUAUUAGUAAAAUUUAUUUAUUAUUUAUUCUAAUAUUAAUGAUACUCCCUAAAAAUCAUUUUAUCUAAUUUUUUAUAAUUAAAAAUUUUAAAUAAUAAAAAGUAAUUGAAAUUUCAAAUAAUAAAAAAUUAAUUGAAAUAUAUUAUGAUUAAAAAUAAUUUUAGUUCAUCUAAAUAUUAUAUCAUAGUAUGUAAUUUUUUUCUCACUCUCUUUUACCGUCUUCACUUUUUAAACAACUCAAACAUUUUCAAAUUUUCAUUUUAUAAGUAUAUUUUAGAAAGAAGGCUCUUUCUAUUAUGCCUUGAUUAAAGUAACGGUAUCAAUACUGUAAUUAAACAUAAUUUAUGUAAAUAAAAUAUAAAACUUGUAAAUCAAUAUUAAUUGUAAAAUACAUAAAUUUUAGAAAUUAAACAUAAAACUUGUAAAUUGAAGGUAAAAUGAGUAAAUUAAUAUAAAACUCGUAAAUUGAUAUAUUAUUAGUAAAUAAAACAAAAAUUUGUAAUAUAACAUAAAACUUGUAAAUUAACCUUAAGUGCAAAAUAAAGCACAAAUGUAAAUGGAGGAUAAAACAAGUAAAUUAAUAUAAAACUAGUAAAUUAAUGUAUUACUAGUAAACAAAACAAAAACUUACAAAUAUAACUUAAAACUAGUAAAUCAACAUUAACAAUAAAAUAAAGGGUCACCCUAUGUUACGUUGAGUGUAACAUACACACACUCACAGCAACAGUAACAAGUCUCAUCAUUAACACUGUUGCUGUGAGUGUGUGUAUGUUACACUCAACGUAACAUAGCAGUGGCCUAAAAUAAAACAUAAAUUUUGGAAAUGAAGUAUAAGACUUGUAAAAGGAAAGUAAAAACAAGUAAAUUACUAUAAAAUUAGUAAAUUUAUGUAUCAUUAGUAAGUAAAACGAAAACAUACAAAUAUAAUAUAAACCAAGUAAAUCAAUAUUAAGUGCAAAAUAAAACAUAAAAUUUGUAAACUAUGCUCAAAACUUAUGAAUAAAAGGUAAAAUAAGUAAAUUAAUCUAAGAGUUACUAACAAAAAAGCUCUUAUAAACUAAAAACUCAUUAUAAUAUUUAUUACCUUAUAUAUUUAAUGAUUUUUUAAAAAUUAAAUUGCAUAAUGCUAGUUUUUCAUUUAUGUAGUACAUGUGAUGUUUUAUUAAGGAUGAAAUUUAUUCGCAGAAUUGGAUUUUGAAAAAAAAAACUAUUUUAAUAUCUUUUAUAGUUGUUGUAACAUGAGAUUAUUUUGCAUCCUUCUACACUUCUGCAACAACAACCAUAAAUGGUCUCUUAAGUACAAGUAAAAAGUUUGAAACUAGGGGUGGGCAAAAUCGGGUUCGGAUCGGGUUCGGAUCAACCCGAUCGGAUUUCGGGUUCAUCGGGUUGGAGAGAAACUCAUCCGAACUCAACCCGAAUUUUAGAUCGGAUCGGAUCGGAUCGGGUUAUAUUCGGGUCGGGUCGGAUCGGAUCUAAAAUUCGGAUCAAUUUCGGGUCAAUUCGGGUUAAGGACAAAAAAGAGUCAUUUGUGUUAAUUUUGGGUUGUUUAAUAAUUAUUUAAUAAUUACAAGAUCACUUUUAUGCAAUUAGUUCAUUUUAGUCCAUUUCCACUUUCCAGUGACUGUCAUAAAAAAAAAUAAACUGAAAUAGAAUUGAAAAAGUUGUGAGCUUGGAGGACUUGGUGUCAUGAAUCUCAGUCUCGGUCUCGUUGGAAGAACAACCAUGGAUCGCUUCGCGCGGGUCAAGCAGCAGCCGAUGGAUCAAGCGGCAACGGGUUUCGUCAAUGGCUCAUGGCUUCACGGGUUUUGUCGGUGGCUACCAGAAAAGCAGAUCCGAUCGAAGUGAAGUGCAGCAACCGUCGAUGCAGCAGCAAGCAGAUCCUGUCGUCAGUGCAGCAGAUCUGGUCGAGUGGUGUGCUGCAUGUGGCCCGCUGCUGUGCUAACCGUCUGUAGUUUUGUUGCGAGAAAGAAGAGAAAGAAGACAGUGAAGAGAAAAAAGAGAGUUGUUUGUGUGAGUUGUGAGAAAGAAGAGAAAGAAGAGAGUGAAGAGAAAGAACACGGAGAGUGAGAAAGAAGAGAAAGAAGAGAAAGAAGAGAGUGAAGAGAAAGAUUUAGGUUUUUUUAGGUUGUUUGUGUGUGGCGUGUGUGUUUAGAUUUAGGUUUUUUUGUUUUUAAAGCAACCCGAUCGGGUUUGCGGAUCGGAUCGGAUUUGACCCGAUCCGAUCACAACCCGAUCGGGUUUCACCAUCUUCAUCCGAUCGGGUUUCCUUUAUAACCCGAUCCGAUCCGAAUCUGAAAUUUUUCGGAUCGGGUCGGAUCGGAUCGGGUCGGGUCGGAUAUUUUGCCCACCCCUAUUUGAAACUACAUGAAGCAUACAUAGAACUCAAAAUUAGAUAUAAUUUUAUUGAUAUAUCAUAUAUGUGUCCAGUAAUAUGAGAAUAAUUAUUUAUUUAUUUAUUCAUUUGCUUGAUCCACGUCAAGAUAAAUAAUUGCACUUAAUUAACUUGUGUAAUAAACAUAUAUCAUUAUAGAAAAUGGGAAAAAUUAUACAAAUGUCAUUAAAUAAAUAUAGAAUUUAUGGUUAAACCAAUUCAAUAAAAUAUAUUUAACUUUUUUUGUACAAUUUUUGUUUAAUUAAUGAGUAAUUUUUUCUUUAUAUUUUUGUAAAUGAAUAAAAUAUGUUUCACUAAAAUUGUGCAGAAGCAAUGUUAAUUUUUUAAAUAAUUAAUAAUCUUGUACGAAGUUACUUGUUUUACUUUAUAUUUACUAAUUUUAUAUGAAACUAGUAAAUAUAAAGUAAAGCAAGGAAAUUCAUACAAGAUUAUUAAUUAUUUAAAAAAUUAUAAAACAUUAUUUGAAUGGCAAUACCAAUUGCACCCUAGUCCGUACAAUUUCACGUCAUUCAAUGUUGAUAACGUGGCUGGCACAAAGGCCAAAUCAGAGGCUGCGCGGGCGUCACCUGGGCCUUUGCCUGGAUCCUACCCUUCGCAAGCAAAGGCCCACGAUUAUGUAUCACCCAUUAAUCCUUCUAGAGAAUCUGCUAUAGAUGUAAAUGGACCCUCAUUCUCAUUUUCACUGUUUUGAUUUUUCAAAAUUCCUUUUUUUUUUUUUGAAGUUUAAUGCAUUUUAUUAUCUCCCUCAAACUAUUUGGCUAUGGUAAUUGGCAAGGGGAAAAUUGUCUUUUAACCAUUCUAUUACCUUAAGACAACGGUCAAGUAUUGGAACCAUGGUGAAUCAUUUUUUAGGGAUUUCAGUCAACUUAUAAACAUUAUAGAGAUUGAUUUUUUUUUUGCGAAAUAUUCGAAAAUAAAUGCAGCACUAAGAGGUUCUUGUAAACUAUUAAAUUCAAAUCAAUAAAAGUAGCAAUAAUAGCGUAAGUCCAGAAUCUAUCAUAUAUCAAUACCACUCUCAUACAGUUGUUGUUAAAUCAGGCCUAAAAAAUAUAUAUUUUUUCUUUAAUUUAAUAAAAUUAUCAAAAGUCAGAUUUUUUUUUCUUGAUUACAUAAAAAUGCAUAAAAUUAGAGAAACGCCUUAAAUUUCCUAUUGAAGAUUUGAAGACAACUACUUUAAUUUUUUCCACUACUAUUAUUGGGAUCUGUAGGAUAUGGUUGUAGUUUUCUCGACUAUCAUCAAUAGUCUCCCUCACACAUGAGGGCAUAUAGAGAACUCUAAUUCCCAUUUCCUCUUCUUUAUAUAGGCAUUUAUUAAAGUCAAGAUAUAACUAGAAACUAAGCUAACAAAGGGUAUCCAUGAACUUCCUAAAUCCAACUUCAUAGGUAAGUCUCAGUCAUAUUAUGACUCCCUAAAAUAACUAAGUUAACCCUAAGCUAUUCUACUAAAAGUCCGAUGUUGCACUCUAAUGAACCAUGUAACAAAUAAAAGCCUAAUUAAUUAAGAUUUCUUUUAAUUAAUAUUAGACAUGAUUUUAAACCAAUAAUUACCACUUAAUUGACUCUUUAUUUGAUAAUCUUAAUUAAAUCCAGCCCAUGAUAAAUGUUCUUUCUUUGUAAUUACAUAUAUAUCCCUCGGUCACUAUUUAUUCUAACUAUCACUGUUAAUAUAUUUGUAAAUAGAUUACAAAUAAAUGUUAUUAAUUAAUAAAUAAUUUAUUGAAUAAAUUAUAACCACAGAUUUAAAUGAUCAAUAUAGGGAUGGCAAAAUGCAAGCUUAGACUAGGCUUUUUCAAGCCCGUUAGAGGGAAAGUAUAAGGGGUAAGCUUGGGCCGGGGUUGGGUUAGGUUGGGCUUUCACUUAUUUUUUUCAUUUUAAUUUUUUUUUUUAAAAAACUUGAAAUGAAUUAAUAGUCAAUGAGUUGUUAUAAUCGGCAACGAAAUAAAGAAAAUGAAUGUUUCAAAAUAAAAUAAUAAAUAAAGAAAACACAACAAAAAAAAGUGUAGAGAUUUAAAUUUUUUAAUACUAGAUUUUUUAAUUCAAGUAUCUUCUUAAUUAAUUAACAUUUAAAAGAGAGUUUAUUAUUAUAAUUUUAGAUUUUUUGAUUCAUUAUUGAUAUAUAAAUUAGGGACUUAAGCUUUCUUUUUUUUUUUUCCAUUAUUUCAUAAAAUUUUAAUUUAUUAUUCAAAUUUCUAAUUUAUUUUUUGAAAAAAAAUAGAGGGCGUGUGCUUAGAUUUGUUUUUACUUAAGCCCUUAUCCAGACCGUUCAUAUGGAGGCUCGAGCCAAAUCUCAUAGCAAUGGGCUGGGCUCAUCCCUAUGAUCAAAUACUACAAAUAGCUUAGGUAAGCAUCAUUUGUAUAGAUUCCAUCUUGUAAGUAUAUAUAUUUCUAUAAUCCAUGAAAUUAUAUCUCCAAAUUAUUAACGUUUUGACCGUUUAUACAAAUCUUACUUUGUGACGACUCAAAAGACAUAAUACCUGAAUGUGCGCUAGACUCCUUUACCCUUUAUUAGCGUUAUAUUACCCACUCAGGAUUAAGAUCGAUCAAGCUUAUUAAAGCUUGUAUAGAUUAUGAUUAGCAACAUAUGUUAGAUUAGAUCAUAAUUCAUUACAAUCUUGUUCAUUACAUAUAUAUCUCAUAUACAUACUAAUUUUUCUACUUGAAGUCUCUACUUCAGUGAUUAAGAUAAAGUUACUUAACAAUAAAAAUACAAAAUAUACAGCCUUAUAAAAUAAAAUAACAUUUCAUUAAUGGAUGUGAAUAAUCUUUUAUUUAUAAAGAAUUUGUGAUUUUUAUCUUCUAUCUUGACAUCAUAUGUCCAAUAUAUAAAUCAAAUACUUUAUAAAUAAGGGCUAAUAAUGUAUGCUCAAAUAAAUAAUAAAUAAAUAAAUUUUAAUAAAUUUAGAAAUUUUUAUUUUAUUGCAUGCUGUAAGAGUACAAAAUAAUAAUAAGUGUAAUAGUAAUUAUAUUGUCAAUAAUGAUACUCAAAUACUUAUACCUUUUUUUUUGUGUUUUUUUAAAAGUAAAGGGUGGUAAUACCAAAUCAGUUUUUUCGCAUCUAACCUUUGAGGAUUCGAACUCUAAUUACCAAACAAAUAAAACUACAUGGAAAUCAGCUAAGCCUAGGGGCGGCCAAUCAAAUGCUUACAUGUACUAAGCAAAACAAAAGAGAACUUAUAAUUACUUUUGUAAACAACAAAAAGUAUAUUGAGACUGUUUAAAAAUCUAUUACGCCCUAGUAAAUACUCUAGAGUCUACUCCAUAUUAUUGAGGAAAAUGAUUGAAAAGAAAAAAAUGGAAUUCAAAUUAUUAUCCUCGGUAUUAUUGAGAACAACUGUUACCAUUGAUCUACCAGCCCAAUAGCUAUUAUUAUUAGUUUUAUAUUAUAAUUCUCUACUGAAAAAUACAAUAUUAUCUCAUUUAGUGUUGAUGUAUGUGGCACAAAAACCAAAUCAAAGGCUGCGCCACCUUCACCGGGGCCCUUGCCCAGGUCCCACCCACCACAACAAAAGGCCCGCAAAAAAUUGUUUAUAUUAUAUAUUUAUUGGGUAGUGAAUGGUGAUAUUUUUUAUUUCUUAAAAUACUAAUUAGAGACCAGGUUUGCCCAUACUCGCAUGUGUAAGAGAGAAUCCAUUAUUGAGAAGAAAUUAUCAGUUGGAUUUAGGAGGAGUUAUUUAUGAACAAUAAACUUUUGGCCAAAUAAUCCAAAUAUCAAACAAAUUUGAGGGAAUGCAAAGUGUAGACGAGUAAAAAUUCAAUAAAUGACUAAAGAUUCAAGAAAACAUGAGUAUUAUAAAAUUGAUUAAAUUCAUAUUGUGUUUGAAGAUGGAAUAAAACACCAGUAUAAUUGUUUUCAAAUAAUCAUAUGUCUAUAAUUGUAAUUUAUGUUAUUGAUAUUUUAGUAACAAUUAAGUUUAUUAAAAUGUGAGUUUAAUGAGUAACCUAGAGGGUUAAAUAGCCUCAACCUUUAAAAGGUGUCAAAAGGCUACUCUUUGUAUAAUAUAAUAUACUCUACUGAAACUAACCCACUUAAUACUAAAAAUUAACAUUGUAAUGUUUUCUGAAUUAUUUUAGUGUUCAAUAUCGACAAUCAUGAUGUUUUUGAAUGAAAUAUACAACAUGUUUAUAAUGUAAAAAAGAAGUCAGGGUUAUAUGAUGUAAGAAAUUGUUGAACUAAUACAUGUAUAGAUGUAAAUAGGGUAGCAAAAUGAAUUCAUGAAUUAGGUUAAAAGUCGGUAAAUUCAAUAUAAUGAAUUGGGUUAGAAGUUUGAAACUCCAAAGUUUCUAACUUCGAUGUUUAAAUUACAAAUUCAUUAACAAUAGAAUAAAUGAACCAUCCUAACUCCAAAAUUUCAACCGAACCAGUGAGCUUAAAUCCACAUUCAUAUUUUAAAUUAAUCCACUGGUUCGUUUGAAAUUACAAAUCCAUUAACAUUACAAUUAAAAUCCUCAAAAUAAAUAUUUUGAACUAGUGAGACUUUUUUUUUUUUUUUUGCAUAAUUAUAUUUAUUGCAUCAUUCAAUAAAUGGAUCUUCAAAAAAUAAACAAAUCAGUGCGACAUUCAAUUUGUUCACUUAACAAAUUCAAUCAAAAUGGUCCAUUUAUUAGACGAAUUAAUUUUUCAAACCUAAAUGCUUUUAAUUCAAAUAGAAUCAAAUGGAAUCAAUAAAUCAUGAUCUAUAUUAUCACCCCUAGAUGUAAACCCUUUUUAUGAGAAAAAGGGUGUUUAUAUGAUAGAGAAACUGUUGAAUUAUAUUUUUAAAGGGUAAUUUUCAGAAACCUCCCCUGAGGUUUGGGGUAUUCUCACCUUGAUAGAAUGUAUUCACGUAUUCUCAGUGACCUCCCCUCACGUUAGUAUUCCCAUUCUUAGACUGUUUGUUGACUGACAAAAUGUCUAAAAUACCCUUGACUUACGAAAAACAUAUUUUUCAUGUUCAAAACAGUGCAUUGUUGGUUGAUAGCAUUACAUCUGUUUUGGCGCCAAAGGCUAUAAACACAAUAAAGUUACCAGAUCAUUCUCAUCCAUUCCCAAAAUAAUUUACAGCUGAAUUAGGGUAAAAAAAUUAAAAAUAAAUUUAGAAAUUAUAAUUGUUACUGCCAAUAUUUAUGUUUGUUGGCUAUAUAAUUAGCCAUUGCCAAGCUCAACAAACAACAAAGCCUCUGCUACUCAUAACUAAAGCUUUCUUCUUCCUUCAACAUUAUCAAAACAUCACUACCAAUAUCCUCUCAUACCUCCAUAUCAACCAUGCAUCUACAAACUCUUCAAAAAUCAUUCAAAUCUCACCACUUUCCAAUCAUUAUUCAAAGUUGGAACACCUAUGCAUGUCAAUGUAUUCUCAAAGAACACUCUUGCUGCCAAAGCUGCUGCUGCAGGAUUAACUAUCGACUAUCUCUUUAGGCUUGGGUUAGUUGCCCUUUAUUAAUAAAAAUAUCGUAUUAGUAUGCAAUUUAUAGUGAAUAUAAGUCAUGGAAAUAUUGUAAACACAUACAUAAGUAGAUUCAAACAAUCGUGGUUCUACUCGUUAAACACUGUUAUGCUACAAAACAUACUACAAUAUACUUGAUUUCAACAGUAGUAGCAACUUAUAUUUCUAUUCAAUCUAACAACAUUUUGCAGAAAUUUUAAUGCAAAGAGACUACGUAUAACAGAACUAAGAUUUUAUUCAUAACAGAAAUAACAAGCUAUUGCCAAUCAUCAAGUCAUUGCAGUUGAUCUAUCACAAAAUUUAUAUCUUUUUUUUUUUUCUUGUUUUAACAUUAUGGAACCAUUACUUUAUUAUUUCAAUGUACACCAAUAUUAAGCCCUAUCAUGCAGCUUCAUUAUUGACACUUUCUAUUGAUGAAAUUAAAACUGAUGAACAACCGAAAUAAAACAUUUAUGUGAAUCUUAAAGACUGAACACACUGACCCAACACAAAAUGGUUGGCAACCAUCUAACACUAUAGAACACAGUUGAUGAAGAUAACCUUUCAAAUGAAUUUUGUAUUAACAUGUUGCUGCAUACAUAUAUAAUCUUACAACUUUAUGGAAAAUCACACUAAAUAUGAACAGAAUCUUGGAUUUUCUAAAACUAGAAAAUCUCAAUAAUACAAAAAAAUCUAAUGUCCUUAAAUAUUACAUUUACUCCUAAUGGUUAUAAAUUCAACCAAGGCAUGUCAAAUACCAAAAAGCUAUCCGCGAAAAGGAUUGAAGCAUUUUCUUUUAUAGAAUACUAAUUACAAACUUCAAUUUAUUUUCAACAUGCAUUUGGGUUACUCCAUUCACUACAACUAACAUUAAUUGAUGACAAAAAUAAGAAGCAUCAGCCAUAUUCUCAAUCAAUUUUGAAGAUCCAUUUUCAUAUUUUACUCAACUUAUCAACAAAGCAAACAAAAACUAACAUGCACUAAAAGUUCUUCAUACAUACCUCAUCCGUGGCUUGGAAAAAGUAAGGUAUUAACUGGUAGCCCACGAAACUCACUGGUCGGUACUCUCUGACCUCGCGGCCUUAAAUCGUUCAUCGCCCGUAUUGGAGUCCUCAACUUCACCGUCAUGGUCCUCAAUUUAUGGGCAAAGUGCUUGAUGAAAGUAUAAGAGAGAAAAAUGAAAUAGAUUUUAAGCUUGGUUGCUUCGGCUUUGGCAGAGGAAAGAGAUGAUAACUUUUCAUUUUGUAUUAAUAUUUGUUGAGCAAAAGCAUGUUUCAGUAUACAGGGUACAAAAGCAUGUUUCAACUUAUUACCCUAUGGAUAUUAACAAAGUUCAAACCAAUUUCAAAGCCCAAGGUGAAAAUAUUAAAUUUGUUUGAAUUUUUUUUAUUUUUAAUUUAUUUAAUUACGAUCCUACCCUUGCAUGCUUAACUUAUAUGAAACGGAAUACUAACAUGAGGGGAGGUCAUUGAGAAUACGUGAAUACAUUCUAUCAAGGUGAAAAUACCCCAAACCUCAGGGGAGGUUUCUGAAAAUUACCCUAUUUUUAAAUAUGUUAUAUAUUAUUGAUUUAUCUGUCAUUUUACUGUAGAGUGAAAUUGUAGCAAUAAAAAAUUGAGUAAAAUCUUUAAAUUUAUAUUUUUCAUGACUCACCGUAGAUUCUGGUAUUUCAUAGAUUAAUUCUUUAUUGGCUUAAAAAAAAUCCUACCCAAACUUAAAAAAAUUAAGCUAAUAUAGACCUAACAUAAAAAGAAAUAAAUAAGAUAUAUAAUACAGAAUUUUGUAAAUUAUUUUUAAUGUUAAAUACAAGUAUUUUAAUAUUAUUGAUCUGCAAAAUAGAUUUUAUUAAAUUAAAACAUAUAUGAUAGAUUAAUAAUAUUAAAUUAAUUUUUUUAUUCAAAACAAUUUAUAAAAUAUAUAAAAUUUAUAUAUUAUAUUAUUUUAAUAUUAUAUUUUGUAUCUAUCUAUCAUAGAAGUUUAUUUAAAAUCAAUUUUUGGAUUGUUAAAAUCGAUGUGUAUAAUCAUAAAAAAAAAAAAAUUUGUGUGAUUAUUUAUUAAACCAAGGAGGUCUAUAGCAACAUUUAUGUUCCCAAGGGGGUAUAUAUGCUUUUUUUCACUGAUUUUUAGAUGAAUUAAUUCUUAAAUGUAUCUAUUUAUCAUUUACUGCAAAGAAGGUGAUCAAAUUAACCAUAAAAAAUACCCAAUGAAAUGUGUGAAAUGCCUGAAAGGUAAUAGGAACUGUCAAAAAUAUUUGUACGGAUUGGACUAGGCAAUGCGGGCCAAUAAUAUCUAGUCCAAAGAUGAGGCCGGACCAAGUUUAAGUUUUACUUGAUAAAUUCAGAUCCGUUCCAAAACCUGAAUUUUAUGAAAAAAUAUUAUAAAAUACAUUAUUUUAAAUAAUUAUAUUUAUUUGACCCGUAGAUUAUACAUAUUUAAAAUUUUAAAUAUUUAAAGUUCAUAUUUGAAAAUCCAAAUUCAUUAAAUAAAAUUUAAAAAUUAUAAACUAAAAUAGGUCCCUACAGUGCAACCCGGUUAAGUCGAAAGCCAUCCCAGCCUGGGCCAUUUGGGUCUUUGCAUUAACCUCAAAAGGAUAAAAAGCGCAUGAGGUAUAGGUUUUAACCGAGAGAACUUCUUGCGCAAUUCAUGCCGUUAUGCUUUUAUGACCAGAAAUUGUUUCUUGAUUUGAUUUCCAUUUCAAAUUGUUUCUUGAUUUUUAUUAAUAUGACGUGGGACCUGUCUAUGGUACAGAUUCUGUAACAAACAUCUCCCGACAUCCCACCAUCUGAUUUUCUAUUGUUUAGUUUCUCAGUCCACAUCCAACCACAUCCAACGGCUGAUGCUGCAGUCUGUAGCUUACAGAUUCUGUAAGCUAGUCAAGUCCUAUGAGGUGAUUGCAAAUAUACAUAUAUAAUAUUAUAAAAUAUAAAUCUGGAUUUUUUAAGCCCAUUAAAGAAAAUCCAUUUGGGGCCGAGUUUUUAAGCCCAACCUCAGUGUUCAAAAAAACAUGCUUGGGCCAAAUUUGAGUAUUGCCAUAUCCGGGACCGACUUGAGUUUUUACCAUGACUAAGCAUAAUCAAUUGGUUGAAAUAAUUUAAUUUCCGGUAAAAUGAUGUGAAAAAUUGUGAAUCAAUUUGGUAAUCUCGUAGAGGCCACUUUGUAACACAGCAAAAGUAUUCGAUUGAUCUGAAAUCAUUGAAUAAUUUUCUGUUAGAGGAAGGAUGUCACGUGCAACAACAAGAAACAUAUAAUGCUACAAUAAUUUAGAUCAACAAUAAUAUUUAGGAUCCUAACAUUUGAGUCUCAACUUGACUCUCAAUGAUAUGUGUCACUCAUCAAUUGAAUAAUGAAUGUAAUAUUUAGUAAAAUUAUUUAACUACCAUUCAAUCGAUGAAUUCCACGUCAGUAGGAACUCAAAUUAUGACUUAUGUUGGGACAUCUACCAUUGCUCUUCGCAUCAGUGGUGAGGCUCCAAGUGGGCUGGGAAAUUUUUGGAAAGUUUACAAAAAUGUCAUAAUGCAAAGUUUAUAAAUUUGCCACUAUUUUAUUUACAGUAGUACCACUCUAUUAAUUUACCACUUUAUCAUUCAAAUAAAUAUAUAGAAAAAUGGGAGCAUUUACUUCAUUCAAGAUUCCAGAACGUGCUUCUUCAAUUCUUCGUCUUCUUCUUGACAAGAAUAGAUAAUAAAUUUAUUGUUUAUUCAAUCAUUUACAGUACACUUAUUAAUUGUUAGGUAGUAAAGACUAAAGAUUAUAUUAUUUAAUUCUUGUUCCAAUUUCAUUGUGUAAAAUUAAAUUAUUGUUGGGUCAAAUGAAGAUAAUUUAGCCAUUAAAUUCUAGCAUUCAAAAAUUUAAAUUAAUUAUUAAUAGAUUAGAGAUAUUUGAAAUUGAUUAUUGAUAGAGAUGGAUCAUAGAUUCAAUUCAGUACAUUAUACAUAAAGUUAAUUUGUUAAUUAAACUUAUUGUUUGGCUUCUGGAUAGUGUUAAUGUGUCGUAGUGACAGAUUGACGGUUCUAUGGCUUUUAUUAGUAAAUUUAUGAUUAUUUCUUCUAACUUCUUUUAUAUUUAUACCCUGUUUUGACUGAAACACCCAAACGAGCAUAGACCCGGCUUCAAAAUAAGGAAGAAAAGGAAUUUUUAUCAAAUUGUAUAGUUAUCUACGUUAAAAGAGAAUUUGUAAACACCGUCAAUUUAAAUUCGAUAAUAGAUGGAUUUAAUUCUCGAAAGUAUGGUAAGGCACAAACUUAAUAGUGUUUAAUUGUGACUAAAUUACUUCUUAGAUAUGAUAUAUUUUCUUAUGUAUAACAAAAUUUUCUUUCAAAUUUAUAUUUUUAACCAAGAUAAUAUUUGGAUUUGGAAAAAAUUUAGCCUACCCAAGAUAUUUUUUCUGGCUUCGCCCCUGAUUCAGAUAAUCUAAACUUCCAGAAAUUUCAGAUAAAUAUUACUCCAUUUUGAUUUGUUAUUGUUUCUCAUAUAUUUGCAUAAACACAUUACAUUGUUUUUGUGCUCACUGCAGAAGAUACAAUGAUUUAGUUUUACUUACAACACUGCAUAGGAACUCAAUACAAUAUUCACUAAAUGCUUGUGGAAAGUGCAGAAAGGUACUGAUAGGGUCUCGUAUGAGAACACAAUGAUUUUACCCACAACAGAACCUAGGAACUACAUGCAAUUGCAAAAUCGGUACUAAGAAGCAGAAUACCAAUGCCCUUUAUGAAGGUUUCCACGAAGACAGAGGUGGAGUUUCAGAGUCUUCGUAGGUAGGAGUGACACCCCCAUACCGAUGAACCCUUACAGCAUCUGCUGAAGCAAUGGAUUCAAGCUCAGCCAUUUCUUCUGGAGAAAGUUUCACUGACAGAGCUUUAAUAUUUUGAUUCAGGUUUUCAAUCUUAGUGGUUCCAGGAAUCGGACACACGUCAUUUCCUUGGUGAUGAACCCAUGCUAAUGCAAGCUGAGAUGGGGUGCAUCCUUUCUUUACUGCUAUUUCAUUAACACGUUCAAAUAGCUUUUUGUUAUGCUCUAAAUUUUCAGGUUGGAACCUCGGUUGAUGCUGCAAGAUUUAGAAAACAGCUCAGUACCAAUACUGAACUGCAAUUGAAUCAUUAAAAAAAAAGAACAUCAUUUUGGAUAAAGCAUGAUUUUAGAGGAGGUUUAUGUAAAAUUCAAUAGACCAGAAAACAAAGAAAAAGGACUAGGCGGGGACUUCUCCUAGGUGGAGGAUGUUUAUAGUAAAACAUUUUGGCAUGUUAGACAAAGGUCUCACAAGAAAUAAACUCUCCUUGGACUUGUCAAUUGAUUUCACAUUGACGUGCAUAGGCAAAGCAAUAUAUAACAAAAAUGGAAACUGCCACAAGGAUGUAGAAGUUUGGAAGAGUCGUUACAGCUAAACUUCUGGAGCAUCCAGUAAUAGUUUUGAGGUAAUGGAACAAUUUUUUUCCCUCAUUUUUUUUUCACCUCUAUACAACUUAAGGGGUAUUAUCAUGUAUAUAAAUUGAAUCAGUCAUGUUAAAAUUUUCUGUCCAUCAAUGAAGUCAUUGCAUAGAUAAUUCCUCAGAUUUUCAAUGCAAAGAAAGCUUUUGCUCAUAUUUGAGGAGGUUAAUGAACAUAAUCUGAGGGAAACAAUUGAAAUCUAUGAAGAAUUUCAGAGCUAUAGAGUAAAACUAAACAAGAAUUAUUAUUGUAUUGCUAAAUGAGAAUGAAUGUGUAAUAAAGAACACAAGUAAUGCAAAUAUGAUGAAAGUAAAAAUACAUGAUUAGUAAACACCAAACAUUUAGCUAAUGAUGAAUAAGUUUUGGUAGACAAGUCACUUCAAAAAGGAUUACAGUGUAUUCAGUCCUUAGUAAUUGAAUUUUCAUUUUUCCUCAAUCCUCUCCAUGCAAUCCAUACACAGGCAACUUCAGUGUAAUUAGUCGAUCGAAAUGAACUAGUAGAAUAUCUAAGAAAGAGAAUUCUUAAACAAGUCCUCCUGGGUUAGGUUAGAAUAACUAUAACUAUGGCUCUAGAUAAAUAUCAGAGGUUUAUAAGAUAAAAUAGUAUGCAAGUCACUGUAGAGUAUCUUGAGAGAAGGUUUUAAACAUGCUUGCAGACAUCGAAUAAUAAAUGCAUGGUAGGCUUACGAACAUGUCUAGAAUCAUCCGGUGCAAUGCUUUCAACCAACUUUGGUCCGGAUGAAAGAAACCCACAUCCUAGAGGACUGUAAGCAACAAUUCCAAUGCCAAGUUCCCUGAGCAGAGCAACCACCAAAAUUGCGUUAGCAUGCAAAUGUUAAAUCAUCUACUCAUAAUUUCUUUUCCUUUCAACUAGGUCAAAACAAUUCAUUUGAAAUUGUUGUUCUUUUCUCUUAAAUUUCAAUUGCUUGAGAAAGAACUUCAACGAAGACGACAACCAAAUGUUCUUGUAACAUACGUCCCACAAAUAAUGAUAACUCUUUUAAUAUGUAUUAUAUUUAAGCUGUGUAAUUAACUAAUGUAUUGUUAUCUUUCCUUUUUUGUGAACUGUAUCAUGAAUGCUUCAGUGGAUGUAAAUUAUUGUUCGCAACAAUAAUGUUAUUAGCUUCUCUUAUUAAUAUAUUUGCUUCUCUUGUUUUGUCAGUUGACUUAUAUAUUAUAUUUGAAGUUACUGAUAAUUGCUGCACAUUAAAAACACAUUUAUUCUUUAGGAGACAAUUAAAGAAUAACACAUCUACAGCAUAUCCCUCCACCAUUGCAGUAGCACACAAUUAAAGAAUAACACAUCUGCAGCAUAUCCCUCAAUUCCAGUAGCACACAACUAAAAAAUAAUACAUAUGCAGCAUAUCCCUCCACCAUUCUAGUAGCACACAAUUAAAGAAUAACAUAUAUGCAGCAUAUCCCUCCACCAUUCCAGUAGCACACAAUUAAAGAAUAACACAUCUGCAGCAGACCCCUCCACCAUUCUGUAGCACACGACUAAAAAAUAACACAUUUGCAGCAUAUAAAUCUAAUAAAGGAUCAUGCUUAGAACCUACUAGUGUACACCAAUAUUUCAAUACCACAUAGUUAAAAACCACCGAUAUGCCAUUAAAGGAAAAAUAUACCAUUACAAAAAUAAAUUAAUGUAUGAAAUCCACAAGCUCACAUAACAUAGCCAAGGGCUUGCCCUCUUUAUUAUUAAUGAUAAUAAAACAAAAACAAUGCUAUUCUACGAAAUCACUUCGAAACUCCUUAUCAACUUCAUAUUCACUAUCUUGCUGAAAGAGUAGUUGGUGAAAAUGGCCAUGUGACUGGAAUUGUGGUUCCUAUUAAAAGAAAAAUUAAAUAUUUUCUUAUAAUAAAAGAAAAUAAAGUAGAUAAGAUGAGUAAAUACUAAAUUUAUCACCACUUACCGUAUAAGAAUUUUGUGUAGGUGUUGGAUAAACAUUAUCCCCAACUAUAUGAUGUAAGCUCAUAAGACCUUAAACCAAACAUACGUUAAAUGAAGCGAAAAUUAAAAAAAAAUCAUAACAUAUAGUGUGAAAAACUUACAUUACAAUAGUCCAUAACUCAAUGUGGGUACAUAUUCAUAUCAACACAACUUCCUUCAGGAUUUUGAAAUGCUUACAGAGGAUCAACAAUAUAUUAGAAAAAUGUCUAUGAUUAAGUAAUAAAAAUCAAUGGCAUGCCUAUGAAUUCCAUAAAACCUACCGUAACAACAUUGUUCUCGUGUGUUGGGAUCACAGUCGGCACUUGAUCGUUAUCUUGCAAAGUCAACAAAACGUACAUUUGAGCAUCAUUUAUCUCAUAAAUUAUUUAACUUUAAUUAAAUUGAAAAUACAUUUUAAAAGUACCUUUGCAUUGGAAUGUGAGGAAUUCAUUUUAGAUUUCGAAAAUUUAUUAGACUUUUUUCUUUGACAAGGUGGCCGACCGUUACGACGCCGAUCUACUGGAUCUCUAACUGUUUCUACUUCCACACUACAACUUCCUUGGCCUGUAACAACAGUUACUUCGUUACCUCCGCAUGGAACUGCCUUCGAUAAAUCCUCCUAUACAUUUUUAAUCCAAUUGAAAACAAGAUUAGAGCUUUCAAUAUUAUGUGCAGCCAUAUUUGCAACCUCCGCGAAAGUAGCACACAUUUUCUCAUAUCGUUUUUGUUCAUCUGUGCAACUAUGCAGCUCAUAACUCAUUUUCACUCUACUGUGGCAUCUCCACACAUCUUUUCUCCAUCUUCGUAGAAUAUACUUUUUUGGAAGUACUUCCACGUCAUUGCGGAUCAUGAUUGUAACGGCAUGCCUGCAAAGAAUACCUCUAAACUGGAACCUUGAGUAGCUGCAACGUAUUUCACCAUUUCUUUUUCAAAAUGUACUUAAAAAAAGGUUCUCUUUUUACCCUCUCCAACUUUGACAUCCUCUCUAACUAUAUAUUCACAAUCCAUAGAAUUGACAAAUUCGCAAUACAUUUUCCCAAUCAAUUCUUGCUGAAAUUCUUGAAAUUUUGAAAUAGUGUACACAUCUCAGACUUGCCUCUCCAUUGCAUAAGAUGUUACACAUGGCAUUUGUUGGGAAAGACACCUGACAUCUUUUUCAACUUCCUUCUGAACUUUAUUCUUCAAUGCACAACUGUAUUGCUCUACAAACUGCUUCAAAGUAGUCUUUGAGUUAACAUAACCAUAAAAAAAUGCAUUCAUGCUCUCACUGCGUUGAGUAGAUGACAUUCCUGCCCAAAAAGUAUUGUUUAGAUAACAAGGUACCCAAUGGUGUGUCUCAUCAUAUAAGCCUCGUAACCAUUCGUUAUCCCCCAAAUCAUAUUCUACAAUCAUAUGGUGCCAAGUUUCCUCAAAUUGCGCAGCACUCUGGGAAUCAUAAACAGCACAAUGCAACACAUUACUAAUGUCACGAUAUUCUUUAUAACCCCCUAGCUUCUCUGGAAUUUUCUUCAUUAUGUGCCAUAAACACCACCGAUGUCGAGUAUUGGGGAAGACAUUCUGAAUUGCAACUUUUAUUGCCAUGUCUUGAUCUGUAAUGAUUCUAAUGGGAGUUGAAUUAGACAUGCAGAAUAAUCAUGUUCGAAAUAACCACGUGAAUGUCUCAAUAUCUUCGUGUGAAAUCAAUCCACACCUAAACAAAAUAGAAUGCCCAUGAUGAUUAAUUCCUACAAAUGGAGCGAACAACAUGUCAUACUUAUUUGUAAGAUACGUGGUGUCAAAUGUAACAACGUCUCCAAACUCUUUGUACGCUUUCCUAUUCCUUGUCUCGGCCAAAAAAACAUUUUUUAAUCGUCCCUCAUCAUCCACUUGCAUACUAAAGUAAAACCUAUUAUCUUUUGCUUGCACUUUCAUAAAAUAGUUUUGAAGAGCAGUAUCAUCUCCAUCUCCAAGCCGUAAUCUUCUUUCUUUCUGAACAUGAUUUCUACAAUCUCUUUCUAUGAAUGACACGUUUUCAUGACCGCCAGCCUCAAUAACAAGUGAUUGAUAAUUUUUGCACAAUUUGAUUCCUGCUCGAUCAUUUACAUCAAACUUCUUUUUUGCAUAUGUAUUGAGGCUACGAUUGCACCAAAAACACUUGGAUUUGGUUGGAGUUAACAGUGCAUGGUUAUUGACACAACUUAAAAGUAAUUUUUAACUCCUAAGUACUCCCAAGUAUAAGAGUGUCUUGUUGUAUUAUAACUCGAUGAGUCCGAGGUCGAUCCACAGAGAAAAUAUUUAAUUAAUUUAUUUUAUUUUAACUAAAAAUUGAAAUUUAAACUUGAAUAUAAAGAACUUAAUUUAAAUGAAACUAUGAAAUUGAACUAGUUAAGGUUGUGGAUAUACUCUUAGUAGUAAAUAAAACUUCUAUUUUUUUAGAUUUAUUGCCCAAAAGAUUAAUUAUAUAUAUUAUUAUUAUUUUUCCUUUAAUUUUAUGAUGGAUUAAGUAUUUAUUGUGACAAAAUUUAAUUUGUCUACAAUUAGUCAAAAUACCAUUUUACCAUACCUUAUAUUAAGAUGUUAAGAAUUUAUUGUGCCAAAUUCAUUUGUUUGUCUACAAUAAAUCAAAAUUUUAAAAUAUAAAAUAUGUAUAAAAUUAAAUAGAAAAUAAUUUAAUUUAUAAAAUUAAAAAUAGAAUUUGAUUAAAUCAUAUUUAUUUCCUAAGAGUUUCACCUUACCCUAACUAAUAUUAUUUAGUUAAGUAUAAUUGAAAAAAAGAAUUAUUAAAAUUAAAUUAAAAAUAAUUAAAAGUAAUAAAAACAACUUAAAUUGAAAAUAAAACUAAAUUUAUUAAUUAAAAAAAUUAUACAAAAUAUUAAAAACACACCUGAAAAUCAAGAUUAUAGGGAGAUGAAGAGAAUUUGAGAAGAAGAGAGAUGUAGAGAGAUGAUUAAAAACAUAAAAAUGAGCCUCUAUUUAUAAAAAAAUAAAUUCAUAAUCCAGUGUUUUGUGGUCCAUCAUAAACUUCAUGCAUGUGCUCCUCACAACCAUUAGAUCAAGAUCCAACGAUUGGUAAAACUUCAAAAGUCAACAUCACACGUGGCAUCAUUUGACUUGUCCGAUUUGGUCAAAGAACGGUUGAGAUUUGGCGGGUUAAUGGGUGGAUCGGGUCGACCCGAUUACAAAGAUUCGGAUCCUACAACUUGCUUCACCAACCAUUGCCAUGUGGCACAAUCAUGGCCAUUGAAUCAUGAAUGGUUGAGAUUUAGUCAAAAUUGCCAGCUAUCCCAUACACUCAUAUCUAUUGUAAGCUCAUUUCAUCAUCCAAUUAGUGGUCGGUCAACAGAAAAAGUCAACUCUUUUUACACAAGCCCAAUUUUAAGCCAAUCUUGACUGAUCUUAAGGUUUUCGGACCUCCAGAAUCCAAAUUUGACCUCCGUUUAUCUGUUUGGAGCCUCGAAUUAUGGGAAAUUAAUAUUUUACCUAAUAAACAUAUAAAAAUACACAAAAUUAAUAUAUUUAAAACAUAAUUAAUAAUUCCUAAUAUAUUACAUAAACACAAAUAUAAAUUAUAACAUAAGCACAAAAUAAUACUAUUAUCGCUUGAUAAUUAAACAAUUUUUAAUACUAAUAAGUUGUGUUCAAGAUUUAAGCUUCGAAUUGUCUACUUUCCAUCAUCCCCUAACCCAGCUCCCAAUCUUGCAUUGCAACUUGUUUUGCAUUAGGUUGGGGCUUUAAAAUAUUCACAGAUUUGCUUCUUGUCUCACCAUUUCUCCUACAAGCAAAAGUCACAUUUCUAAGAAUCUCAUUACUAUCCUUUCUACUAGUUCUCCUCAAAACCGGAAACCCUUUUCUUUUACCGUACUCCUUGAAAUAAAUAAACAGAUCGGUAUCACUAUCGAAUGACAUCCCAAUUAUUGGCUCAUCGUUCUCCUCAAUUUUCUCCAACUCUUCAACUUCGAUGUCUUUUUCCAUAUUCUUUAUUUCUACAAAAUUGAAAUAAUUCACAUUGACAAAAUGGAAGUAACAAAAUGAAAAUAAUUCAGCACAACUUUACAAAACUAAACUAACUAAUGAUAUAAAUUGUGAACACAAAUUUAAUAUAUACCAGCUGAAUCUACAGCAUAUAUUUAUUUAUUUCGUGCUUACUAUUAACUUUGUAAUACACAUGAAUGUUUGUUGCAUCCUGCCUGAGGCUAGACUUGCAAAUCAAACUUAUAAAAUUCUAUGGCUGCCGAUCAUGCUCCAUAUCAUGUUUUGUUGCAUAAUCAUCCGUAAUUACUAGACAAUUAACAUAAAAUUCUAUGGCUGUCGAACAUGCUCCAGAUCAUAUAAAUUAACAUAAUAGCAGCUAAGAUGUCACAAAUUAAUAAUUAGUACAAAAAAAUUCCAGUUAAUGAAGCAAACUACCUACAGAAAUUGAUUGCCGCAAUCGAGGAUGAGUGAAGUCAGUCACCAAGAUGCAACUCAAUUCCUCACACAACCAAGAGAAUGAUACACCGUGACAGAGAGCCGACAUAUUUCACACAAUGAGGAAGAGUCCACGAGUAUAACAGAAAAUGCCUUGGGAGAAUUAGUUGUUCAAAUUUCUAACUUGAAUGAGGAGUGGAUUUGAUGUGAAUGAGAGUGAGAGUGAUGGAGAAUGCGUGUGUGUGAGAUCUAAUGCGCGUGUAGUGUAUUUGUUUGUUCAAACAAUAGCCUUUUAUAUUGAACACAAAACGCACCGUUCAGUACUUAUUGUGGUGCUUAUUGUGGGCUGAAUAUCGGUACUGUAAAUUUUGUCAUUCACUUGAUAUUUAGGAGAUCAGGUCGAGACCUUUUUCUUAAUGAUAAUGAUGAGGGAAAGCAUCCAUUGCUCAAGACAUUAAUGGAAAACGAUGAUGAAAAUUAAUUCAUGUAUGACAUGCAUACCCUAACUCUUCUUUAUGCAUAUUUUUUUUAAUUACAGAGUCUUGAGAUGCCUUUGUUUAUAGGUUUCAUUUACAAGCUUUUAAUGAAAUUAUUCUUAGCUUAUAAUGGGAUUAGAUAAUGUUCAUAUUUUGGGGAGAUUUUGUUUAUAUUAAUUUGCUUUUACUUUUUCUAUUUUUAUAAGGGGAAAUGUCACAUACACCUCCAACAUUUGCUUAAAUUGUCACAUAGCCUCUUUUAGUUUUAUAAAUUGUUACACCGAAUCCCUUUUGGCUAUUAUACCCUUAAUUACAAUAACCCAAUAAUUGACCUUAAAUAAACUUUUGUAACAAAUAUAAAUAAAAAUAAAAAUAAUAUAAUAUAAUAUAAUAGAUAAAAUAAGAUAAAAUUUAUAAAUGUUUUGAAUAUUAGAAAAGUUAUUUAACAUUAUUAUUCUAUCAUGCUCUUUUGAUAAUAAUAAAAUCUAUUUGAUAUUUUAAUAAUAUUAAAAUAAUUGUACCAAAUAUUCACAGUAAAUUAUAAAAUUUAUAUUAUUUUAUUUACGAUAUCUUUUUUUUUUUAAUUAUGUCUUUAGUAUGAAUCUUAAAGUUAAUUUUGGAUUAGUAGAUUUCAAUAUUCAUAAAAUCCAUUGGGGGUAGACUAAUAAUAAAUUAAUAUUAAAAAUAAAUUUUUUUAUAUAUGUUAUUUUAUUAAUUAUACUUACUGUAUUAUUUUAUUUAUAUCAUAUGAUAUUUAUUUAUUAUUUUUAUCUUAUUACUAUAUCUAUAUUUAUUUGGGUUGUUAUAAUCAAAGGGUAUAACAAUUAUUUUUGAAAUUAAGAGAGUAUGUGUGACCGUUUAAGCGAGCCUUGGGGAUGUAGGUGACUUUUUCCCUUUUUAUAAUUAAGUGCUCUUGAUUUCACUAACAAAUUCUUUUAAAUCGAGUGUAAUGUAAUGCAAUAUAAUUUAAGCAACACUAUGUAUUAAUGGAUUUUUAAAAUAAAAAACUUACCAAUUACCUAUUGGACUCAAAGUUGUUAUUUUUGGUAAUUUAAAUUUGUCACCAUAGUUUUUUUCGCUUUAAAUUAAAAAAUUACAAAUAAUGAAAAAAUAAUGAUAAAUUAUUACUUGGAGUAUGAAAUAAUAAUAAGGUUUUAUACGUAAGGUUUGUACUAUCUCCGAGCAACAAAAUCGCCUUCACUCGCAAUUUGAAGCCUUUUAGCUCCAGCACCAAUGACUUCUCGACGGGCAGCACUAGAUUUUUUAAUCUCUCGGCAUUCCUCCUCCACCAUUACCACCAUAGCCACCAUUAUAGAUCCUUUCUUGUUUCCUUAUUUGUUUUUCCGUACCAACAUUUUCUCUUGCAUUCUCUGCAUAUGUUAUUGAAGGGAUGGCAAAAUCCUCCACGGGUUUGGAGCCCCACCCCAAAUGGGGAAAAUUUUGAAUAAUUUUUGGGGAAUGGGGUGGGGAGUGGGGGAAAAUAAUCCCCAAUUCUUAAUGGGGUGGGGUUUGGUUUUGUACUCCCCACCCCACCCCCACCCCAAUCCCCAUUAUAUAUAAAUAUGUUUUUAAUUCUUAUUUAAUAAUUUUUAUUUUAUCAAUUAUAAUGUCAAUUAAUAAUUUUUUUUAAUUUUUAUGCAAUAUAAACAAGAUAUGAAUGAAAGAAAAUCUUAUAAUAUUUUUCAACUCUGAAACAUUGUUAUAUUUUCUUUUAUCUUUUAAGGUGCUACACUCUUUAAAUAUUUUUCACUUUUAAUAUCAUUUUAAGAUAUUGUUUCAAACUUUUAGAUAUUUUUUAAAAAGAAUUUAAAUACUUUAUAAUAUGAUGAUGAUUUUAUUUAAUUUUUAACUUACUAAAAUAAUAUAUUUAUACAUAUUAUAAAAUAGAUAAAUGGGGAAUGGGGUGGGGAUGGGGAAAUCAUUCCCCACGUGGGGAUUCUCCAUUCCCACUCCACUAAAUUUAUUGGGGAAUGGGGUGGGGAAUGGAGGCAAAAAUUUCUAACGGGGUGGGGAAUGGGGUAGGCCUCCCCACCCCCACCCCACCCCAUUGCCAUCCUUAUGUUAUUCAUCUUUGUUGAUGAAUUAAUGUCUUACCUUUUGACUAUUUGCAAAUAUAUUGAUGUUCAAUCUUAUACUCUUAUGAUUUUUUGCAUGCCCUUACUUGGAAUAUUAUAUGCUUUCUUGGUUAUUGAUAGAGGCAAAUGCCAUCGCAACUCCGCUUUGUUAUUGUUUUUAUUUUGAGUAAUAAGCAUCUUAAACAUUUUUGCUGUUAAAAGAGGAAGCCAAAAUACUAUGCCUUUUUUAUGUUGAAGGGGGAGAAGCAAUAUGUUUUUGUGGAGCAUUACUUGAUCGGUAUAUUUAAUUGAUUAUUUAAGUUUGAAAUUGAUGAGAUAUAUACAUUGUAAUUGAAAUUUUAUGAAUUUGAAAUUGGAAGAAGAAAAGAUCAAGAAAUAACAUGAAGAAGAAAAAUUGUUAUAGUAAGUGUUGGGAGACCUAGUAUAAGAUUUUUAGGUAUCCAACCCAAAAGACUAGUCUUUUAGGUGGAGUGACCUACCACUUUAUAUACCCAAUCAUCUCCCAUUUACUAGCUAAUGUGGGACACAACUCAACAAUCCCCCCCGGACGAAACCACCGUCGGAUCCCGAUCCUUUCGUCCAACACAACUGAGUUGUUUCACCACCACAUUCCGACUACUAGGGUAUAGCUCUGAUACCACUUGUUUGGGGGGGGGGGGACUAAGCGUAAGAUUUCUAGGUAUCCAACCCAAAAGACUAGUCUUUUAGGUGGAGUGACCUACCUCUUUAUAAACCCAAGUAUCUCCCAUUUUCCAGCCAAUGUGAGACACAACUCAACAAUAGAUUGGAUACCUAGAAAUCUUAUGUUAAGUCCCCCCAACAAGUGGUAUCAGAGCUAGACUCUAGUAGCCGGAAUGUGGUGGUGGAACAACUCAGGUGUGUCGGACAAAAGGACUGGAGUCCGGCGGUGGUUUCGUCCGAGGGGGGGAUUGUUGAGUUGUGUUUCACAUUGGCUAGAAAAGAGGAGAUACUUGGGUUUAUAAGGAGAUAGGUCACUCCACCUAAAAGGCUAGUCUUUUGGGUUGGAUACCUAGAAAUCUUAUGCUAAAUCCCCUCAACAGUAAGAUAAAGAAAGAGAAAGAUUAUGCACUAGGUAAAAUCUAAAUGGUUACAUAAUUAUUUAUAAACUUCUUAUUCUAAUGAGAGUAUGGUUCUAAAUCAAGAGAAUUAAGAGUCCCUUAAUGCAAGAUUUUUUCCUAAAUCAACUAGAAACAGAUGAAGACUUAAUAAUUCACCUAAGAGUUUUAGCCAAUUAAGCUACCAGGUAGGAAUCACCAAAAGUACAGCUCCACCUUACAAUUAAUUGGAAAUAUCUAUGAAAUUGUUUCCUCAUGGUGGCAUCUUUCUCUUCAGUCUUUAAGUAUUUUUGCUAUAAGGCAACAAUUAAAAUUUAGGUUGUGAUGUUUGGUAAUUGGAAUUGGAUGAAUAGACAUAAGUUAUGCAUAAGCCUUUAGUAUAUUAGUUCAUUUUCAAGAAUUUUAUUGUCAAAGUUUAUAGUUUCUAUGUUUUGUAUUUUUCAACUAAAAUAGCCAUUGGUUUAGGGGCGGGGGGACGAUUUGCCGGGUUUUUAAAUUUAAAUGUGAAGAAAAAAGGAUGUAGGAUGAUUUGUUUUAGGCAGCAUAAAAUUUGUAACACAUGACAUGUAAAAAAAAGACAUGAAAUAUGCAAAUAGUAGUUAAAUAUGUAAUGGUAGACAUUAAACAUGAGUACGAUGUAACAUGAAAUAUGGUAGUUGAUACAUGUGACAACGAUUUUAUACUUGAAAUAUGAAUAUCAAAUAUAAAACAAACAGGAGUGUAAAAUUAUUUGGCUAUAUUUAUGACAUGAAAUACUAAACUUAUAUAACAUGUGGUGUAAACAUAAAAUAUGAAAUUUACAUGUGAAAAAAUAACACGAAAUAUGCAAAAACAAAAGCUAAGUAUGCAACAUUAGACAUUAAACAUGGGUACAAUGUAAACAUGUAAUAUGAUAGUUGAUACAUGUGAUGGACGAUGUUGUACAUGAAACAUGAAUGUCAAAUAUGAAAUGAAUAGGAAUGCAAAAUUUUUUGCCUUUGUUUAUGACGUCAAACACUAAACUUAUGCAACAUAUAAUGUAAACACGGAAUUUACAUGUAAUAAAACAACAACAACAACAUGAUAUAUGCAAAAAUGAAAGUUAAGUAUGCAGCAUUAGACAUUAAACAUGGGUACAGUGUAAACAUGCAACAUGAUACUUGUUACAUGUGACAAAUGAUGUUAUAUAUGAAACAUGAACAUCAAACAUGAAAAGAGUGGGAAAAUAAAAAAUUUUGGCGUCAUUUCCAACAUUAAACACCAAACUUUAAAGAUACAACAUGUGAUGAAAACAUGAAAUAUGAAAUUUAUAUGUGAAAUAAUAAUAUGAGAUAUGAAAAAUUGAAAGUUAAAUAUGCAACUUUAGAUAUUAAACAUGAGUAUAAAGCAAACAUGUAACAUGGUGCUUGACAUAUGUGACAAACAAUGUUAUACAUAAACACGGAUAUCAAACAUGUAACAAGUAGGAAAAUAAAAAAAAUUUGUGCCAUUUCUAACAUGAAACACCAAAUUUCAAAGAUGCAACAUGUGAUAUAAACAUAAAACAUAAAAUUUAUACAUAAAAUAAUAAUAUGUACAAUGAAACAUUACAAGUUAAAUAUGUAAUGUUAAACAUUAAAUAUGAGUAUUGUUUUAUAUAAAACAUAUAACGAUAAAAAAGUAAUUAUUAAUGAUAUAUAUGAAAUACGAAUGUCAAACAUGAAAUGGGGAAGAAAAUAAAAUUUUAGGGGUAUUUAGAAUAAUAAACUUGAGACAAAUAACAAUACACUUGAAAUUUUUUAAUGUCAAAUAUGAAAUAACACAUAUAAAAUAACAAACAAAUUAUUGUCUUUUAUUAUAUAAACUUUUUUUUCUUGAUUUUUUAUAAGAUAUUAUUUUUCUUUCAUUUUUUAUUUAUUUAUCUUUUUUCCUUUCUAUUAAUAUUAUCUUUUCAAAAAAAAUUAACUAGUAUGUUAUCCUAUUUUAAUUUUUAAAAUUUAAAUAAUUAGUUAAAUAUAGUAAUCAGUUAAAGAAAUCAGUUGUUUUAGGUCAUCAUGCCUAAAGAUUGCCUCCUGGCAUUGCAACCACACUCGAAAUGGAGCCUAAUCAGAUGAAGACACAUAUACUUAUAAAAGAAGUAAGUAUAUAAAAUACGAAAAAAAAGUCGUUUUGAUUUCAAUUACUUUGACAAAGUCGAUUUGAUUUCAAUUGGGCAUCAGGCAAACUAACACUGGGGAAAACUGAUCCUUUUGAAAAAAAAAACUGAAAAAUGCAAUUAUGAUGGGAACUUUUUUUUUAACCUGAUCAAAGUGGUGAUGGACAUUAUUUGCUGUAGGUUACUAGGUUUGAUAUCUCGAACUUGGCCUGCCCCAUAUGGCCCAUGUUAGUAUGGGCUGGGUUGUAAAAUUACAAAAAAAAGUUUCCUAUUGAUAAGUUGAUCACAAAAUUACAAAAACAUCCAAAGAACAUUUGAAUUUUAGGGCCAAUUUGGUAAUAAUAUGCUUUUAAAUAAUUACUAUUAUCUAUGGUAUAGAAAUAAACAGUUACGAAAAAAAUAAUUAAAUGCUUAAUAAAUUCUAUUUUUAAAAAUAUUGUGAGUUUUAAAAAUAAUCGUAUGUGUUUAAUAAAUUUUACUUAUUAAACUACUGUAAGAAUACAAAUGAUUGAGUUCGAUAUAAUGUUAAGUAAAAUUUAUUUAGACAUUUAUCAACAUGUUUAUAAAAUAUUUUUUAUGUAUAGAAAAUAAUUGAUAAUUAAAAUAAAUAUUUUUUAUUAUUAAUUUUAUUUUUUAUUUUGUUAUUGCAAUAUAAAUAGUAACAACAAUAAUAAUAUAUUUAAGGUUAAUAAUUUUAUUUUUAAUUAAUAAGAUUAAUUUUAUAUUUUUAUAAUAUAUGGAAUGAUUAGAUAUAAAAUUAAAUUUAAAAAAAUUAUUCAUUUCAUACAUCUGAAAAUCCACUAUAAAAUAAAGUGAUUUUUCUAAAAAUGAUUUUUAAAAUAAUUUAUCAGAUAUUAAAAUUAAUUUUUAAUAAAAAAAUAAAUAUUAAAAUUAACUUUUCAGAAUUAAACUCCAUACAUUUACCUAGGGGUGGGCAUUUUACCCGAUCCGACCCGAUAAAUUUCGGGUUCGGGUUGGAUCGGGUCGGGAUCGAAACCCGAUCGGUUUGAAAUUUACAAACCCGAUCGGGUUGUGAUCGGUUCGGGCAAACCCGACCCGAUUCGAAUACCCGAUCGGGUUCCCAAAAAAAAAAAAAAAACCUAAGCUAACACUGCACAAUUAUCUAACUAUAGAUUCACCUCCAAUCUUUUAAGUGAUCCCUGAUCAGAUUAUCAACAAAUUAAGCUCAAAUAGUCAAAAACAUUAAUUGUUGGAUGAGUUGAUUAAUUCUCCAAAGCCAAUCAAAGUUGCAAAAUUGCGCCUCUUAGGCUUUUUCGGAAGUCUUUUAACUGCACACACACAUACGCUGCUUGGCUGCUGCACAACACACACACACAAGUCACAAGCUGCACAACACACAGCCACACACACAUACGCUGCUACUGUGCUGCACACACACAACACAAGUCAGAAGUUGCACACUUGCACAGCAGUCAGCACACACACAGAAUAGAACAGAAGUCACAAGGUGCACAGGACGUUCAGUGAACACACACGAGCUGCACAGCACACACACACGCUGCACACAGUCACUCAAGUCUCAACAAUUCACUCGCAAACCUAACACACACACACACACACACGAUGUCAGCCACAACUCACAAGUUCAAACAACUAAACAAACACAAACAAUUGAACAACAGAACAAGGCAGCCGCAACCCGUAAGUCUGCAACCAGCGACCACAAGACGCAAUCUGUUGCUGCCAACUACUGAAAUCACGAUCUGUUGCUGCCAACUGAAGUCGCGACCAGCCGUGAGCCGUGAGCCGUCUGCAUCUCUGCGAUCUGCUGCUGCAGUGCUGCCAACUCCCAAGUGAAGUCGCGAUCUGCUACCAAGUGAAAUCCCGUCCGUCCAGCCGUGAGCCGUGGCCACCGAUCUGCUGCUUGAAGGCCGAAUCCUCUCCACCCGAGUGCUUCCGGUUUCCACCUUCCACUUUCAAGUUUCAAGCUUCAAGCCUUCAACUUUUUUCAAGUUUCCCAAGUCUUUUCAGUUUUCACUUCAGUUCACGGUAUAUAAGUUAUAACUAUAUAUACACUAUAUAAUUAAUUAAUUAUAUAUGGUAAAUAGUUUAUUAUAUAAUUCAGUAAUUGGUUAAUGGUUAUUAUUUAAUUGUUGUAAUUAACUAAUUAUGUAUCUAUAAAUAUUAGUAAUAAAAUCAAGGAAAUUUUGUUAAUUAUUGAGCUCAUCAGAAAUUAUUUUUUUGUCAUAUAUAAAAAGGAAUUGAUGAUUGGUUUGGUGGGUUUUGUUUUUAUUUCAUUGAUUAUUAAUUUGUUAUCGUUUGCUCUCUUUAGCGAAUAGACUAUAACAAUCAAGCAUAAAGGACAUACAAAAAUGGUGUUAGCCAGCGAAUAAUAAAAAUUUUGUUAAUUAUUAAUAAGUGAAAUAAUAUUAAUUGAUAAUUGUUAAUAAUUGAAAUAAUAUUAAUUGAUAAUUGUUAAUAAUUGUUAAUAAUAGUUAAUAAUUGAUUUUUAAUGAAUAAAUUAGCACAUUAGGUAGAUUAAAUAUUAAAAUUAAGUAUUAUGUUGUAUAUAUUUUAUAAUUAUAAUGUGUUAUGUAAUUAUGGGGAAUGGACAAUUGGAUAUUAUAAAUUAAUUAAUUAAUCAUGAAUUUCUUAUUUUUUGUUUAUGGAGCAUGAACAACUUGAAUUGAAAUUACUAAUUUUUGUUUAUGGAUUAUGUUAACAAUAUUUAUGUGUUUUGAUUUUUGAAUUAAUGAUUAUUAAUUAUUAUUUUGAAUAUUCAGAUGCUUGGACACUCAAGAUCGAAUUCGAUGAGUGACGAUGAAGACCAAAGUGUACAAAUGGAAGGAACCCAUAGAGGAAAGGAAAAGGCGAAGCGGAAAAGACCGCCAAUGAAGAAAAGAUCGGCAGUAUGGAAUCAUUUCACUUUACUCGAAGAUAAUCCAAACAAAUUUAUGUGCAACUAUUGUGGUAAGCAAUAUCAAUGUCAUUCAAGGCUUGAUGGGAUUACAAAUAUGACAAGGCAUAUAAAGACAUGUGAAUCAUACAAGACAUUUCGGGCACAACAAAGUGGAAGUCAACAAAAUUUGACAUCCGAGGGCGGCGAAGAAAAUGCAAGUAAUUUGGUUUUGGAUAAAGGAUGGAGUCAAGACGCGUGUCGAAGGGCAGUAACUAAAAUGAUUAUUAUGGGUGAGUUGCCGCUCAGUUUUGUAGACAACAAAGGAUUUAGGCAUUUCUGCAGUGUAGCUAUCCCUUAGUUUGUUAUGCCAUCUCGAAGAACAAUUGGUAGAGAUGUUAUGGAGUUAUUUUUGGAGGAAAAGGCAAUGUUGAAGAGUUUAAUUUGCAACAACAAGCAGCGGGUGUCUCUUACAACUGAUUUAUGGACUUCUGUUCAAAACAUGAGCUACAUGGUGAUUACAACUCAUUUUAUUGAUAGUGAUUGGUGUUUGAAUAAGAGGAUUAUUCGUUUUAGCGCAAUCGAAGAUCAUAGAGGGAAGUCGAUUGGUAAAAAGAUUGUGGCUUGCCUACAAGAUUGAGGGAUAGAGAGGUUGUUUGCAAUAACUGUUGAUAAUGCCACUGCAAAUGAUAUUGUUGUUGGUUAUGUCACUAUGCAGUUGCUUAGUUGGAGGAAUGAUGAUGCACUUGUGUUGGCGGGACAAUAUAUGCAUGUGCGUUGUUGUGCACAUAUUUUGAAUUUGAUUGUUGUCUCAGGAUUGGGAGAGUUGCGUGCUAGUGUUACCGCUAUUCGAAAUGCAGUGAAGUACGUGAGAUCCUCCAGCAUGAGGCUGCGGACAUUUAAACAAUGUGUUGAGCAGGUGAAUUGUCCAAAAGGAAUUGUUGUUUUGGAUUGUCCUACCAGGUGGAAUUCCACUUACUUGAUGUUGAUGAUUGCGCUGAAAUUUCAUGCGGCAUUUGAUAGAAUGGCAGAAGUGGAUAAACCUUAUAAGGCAUACUUUGCUGAGAAAGAAAAUAAUGUUACAAGGGUGGGCCCACCUGGACCGGAUGAUUAGGAGAGUGCUGAACGGAUUGUGAAGUUUUUGAAGGUAUUUUAUGAUGCCACAUUAUUGUUUUCUGCCUCUUUGAGUGUGAGUUCUAAUCUUUGUUAUGAUACUAUUGGCUUAAUUGAGAGUUCAUUGACUGCACUGCAAGAAAGUACAGAUCCUUGGGUGUCCUCUAUGCCUUAUAGUAUGAGGGAAAAAUUUGACAAGUAUUGGGAGUCCACAUGAAAGAUAAACAAAAUGUUGAUUAUUGCCUCUAUUCUUGAUCCACGAGCGAAAAUGGAUUUUGCUAAACAUAUUUUUGAGAUCAUUUUUGGCAAUGAUAGUUUGAUGGUUGAACAAAUGACCAAAGCAGUGAAGGACUUGUUGAAUGAGUUUUAUGAUGCAUAUAGUGCAUUCUCCGCUAGUUCCACACCAUCGAUGUAUGGUGAGAGUGGUCUUAGUGGCAGCUAUGGAGGUACAAGUUCUUCUCAACGUUUUACAACUGAGGCUAAUUUGGUGGAUGUUGCUGGUGGUGAAUAUGAUGACGCUUUUCAAGUAUCUCGCCCUUUCCUUAGAUAUGCCAAGAAGGUUUCUGUUCAGAAUGAGAGUAGAAGAGUAGUAUCUGAGGUGGAAAGGUACUUGAAGGACCCAGUUGAAGAUCCCAGCAAUCUUUAACUUAAUGUUUUGCUUUGGUGGAGGGUGAAUGGAUCGAGGUAUCCAAUUCUUGAGAAAAUUACAAGAGAUGUCCUUGUUGUUCCUGUUUCCAUAGUGGCAUCUGAGUCUGCCUUUAGCACCGGACGUCGUAUUAUUGAUGAGUAUAGGAGUUCUUUAACUCCGGCUAUGGUUGAGGCAUUGAUAUGCACUGAAAAUUGGCUGCAGUCUAAACUUUUUGCCAAUCCCGUCUACAACCUCCAAGAAGAUAUUAAGGAGCAAAUGUUUCAUAUGGAAUUACAAGAAGGUAAUGUUUUUAAUUUUUUUAUCAUACAUUAAAUACAUAAUAUAUUUAAAAUGCAUUAUAACUUUAUAUAGAACAUCUACAUAUUAAUUUUUUUUUUGGAUUUUAUAGAACUUAUAAGAUCGCAAGCUUCAACAGUGGAAGCGGUGGGCGUUGACAUUGGUGUUAUGGAUGUUUGAAAGGUAACUUUUAAUAUAUAUUAUUAUUCAUAAUUUGAUAUUAUAGUAUUAGUAUUUGGUUGUAAUUUAAGUUAUAAUUAUAGUUGUUAUAGUUUUAAAUUUUAAGUGUAAUUUGUAAUUGUUUUAGUUAGACAAGUUGAAGUUGAUAGAAUGUUAUUAUUGUCUAGUAUUAUUAUUAACUUGAUUUGGUGAUGAAUGCCAUAAAAUAAGCAUGAUAUAAUAGAAAUAUAUAAUCAAGUGUGUAUUGAAAAAUUUGGUAAACAUAUAUAUUUAUUUGUAAUUAUAAAUUUAUAAUGAUAUAAUAGAAAUUAGAAAGAUUGUAACACUCAUUUAGCUUAAUUAAAUAUAUGAAUUGGAUUUAUUUAUUUGUAUUUGUGUUUGAUGUGUAACCUUAUGAAUUAGGUUUAUUUGCUCAAUUUUUUAUAUGAAUUGAGUUUGUUCAUUUGGAACGUGGCUUAAGGAAAAUAUUUAUUGUACAUUUCCUCAAUCUUUCUCUAGGCAAUCGGCACUUGAACUUAGAGUUCAAAAAUUUGAAUUUAGAACUUGUCAAAGUACUUGCAUGGAGCCAUGGAGGAACCAAGGUGGAGGAACCAAGAAAGCUUAUUUAGUUUUAAUGUUUGAACUUUGAACUUUGUGAUUUAUGUUUCUAAACAAUUUAAUUUUGUGACUUUGUGAGUUUGUGUUUCAAACUUUUAAAGACUAAUAUUUUGAAAUUGUGCUUUGGACUUUGUAAGUUUGUAUUAAUUUUAACUUUUAUUAAGUUUGGAACAUUGGAUUUUGUUGAUUGAGCAAAUAAUAGUCCUAAUUCUACCCUCCAAGCCAAUAGGCAAAUAAUCCUAUUAUAGCAUUUUAACUUUAUUUAUUUGAUUUAAUAACAUUUUCUUUUCUUUUUUCAGUUGAAAAUUAGUAAAAAUGACUACAAUUAAGAAAAAUAUCUUAAAACUUUCAUAAAAACUACAAUAAUAGGAAAAAAAGAGCUCAAAAUUGUAUUAACCAAAUUUGACCCGAAUUGACCUAAUUUCAACCGACCCGAACUGACCCGAUUGGACUUGAACUGACCCGAAUUGACACGAACUCAAUCCUACUCGUUUUAAAUCCAACCCAAUCCAACCCGUAGUUCGAGUCGGGUCAUUAAUUCGGGUUAUGUUCAGAUUAAUUCUUGUCUAACCCGAACAACCCAAAAUCCAAUCAAAUUGACCCGAACCCAAUCCGAACUCGAUUUUGCCCACUUCUACCUUAACCUUCUCAAAAAAAAAAAAAAAAAAAAAUUAAACUCCAGACUCUUAAAGCACUUUCCGCCAAUCGCCCGCAACUUGCUUCACUUGCUACUAGGGUUGGCAAUUUAAGGGCCUGGGCCGGGCUUUGCCAAGCCCAGGACCAGGCCCAUAGCUUGUUUAAAAAGUCCAGGCCCUCUCAAAGCCAUCCAAUUUGGGCGGGCUUUGGGCGGGCCGGGCCUUGAUGGGCCUGGGCCGGGCCUGGGCGGGCCUAGGUCGGGCCUGGGCUUUACGAAUUUUCAAAAUUUUUUAAUAAAACUAUAAUUUUUCAAAACAUAAUUAUCCAAUAUAUAAUACUACAAUAGGCUAAAAACUUAAACAUAAUAAAAAAAUAUAAAAAUACUAACAUCACAAGUACCAUACACAACAUACAAAUCAAGUAAUCAACCACUAAUAUAUAUAAAAAAAAACUAAUCCAAUAUUUGCGGGCCAUCUUCGUCCUCAUCCUUCAAUUCCUCGCCAGUAAAAAUUUCUUCUUCAGGAACUCCACCUAAUAAAAAAAGUGUUAAAAUAAAUAAUAAAGCAAAAUAAUUAGUAAUUAAUUUUGUAAAAAAAUGUUUUUAUACCUCUACUGCUAGUAGCCCAUAACCAAUGCUGAGAGCACAUGAUAGCUUCCAACGUGUCUGGAUGUAGUCUACUUCGAUGUGGACUCAAUGUUCUACCUCCCGUACUAAAAGCCGACUCCGAGGCAACAGUUGUCACAGGUAUGGCUAGCAAAUCCUUGGCCAUCUCCGCCAAAAUAGGAUAUUUACCUUUGUUCAUCUUCCACCAUUGUAAAACAUCAAAAUCCGGAGUUCUUUUGACUAAAGGAUCCUCCAAAUACAUAUCUAAGUCGGACUUCGAACUAAUAGGUUGACUAUUUUGGGUUGCAUAUGCAUCAAAAUCACCCAUAUCAUCUAUAUUAUCAAAAUCAAUAUGAGAUUGGUCGGAAGGAACAACAAGUGCGGUAGAAGACUCACCAACAACACCGUAUCUCGUAGUUGCGGAUUUGGCCUCAUAAUAAUUCAUCAUUUCAUCACAAAGCUCUCGCACUCUCUUAAGUUGGUUUUCAAGGCCGACUACAUAAAUCUUCGGAUAAUAAUAAUUAAUCAACAUCAUCUUGUAUCUCGGAUCAAGAAUAACAGCCAUGACCAAUACCCCACUAAUCUCAUCCCAAUACUUCAAAAAUUUUCCAAUCAUGUUAUCCGCCAUAUUCUUAACUGCAGGAACAUCAGAUGUUUGCCACCCCUUCAAUGCAAUCCUCAUUUUACAAACCAAUGGAAAAAAAAGAUUAGCAGUGGGGUAUGUUGUACCCGAAAACAUCUCAGUCAACUUUGAAAAAGGCCUCAAAUAAUCUAGCAUUUGCUUAGCCAACUCCCAUUCCUCACUACUAGGCAAACACUUGUAUUGUGGCUCAAGUGUUUGUAGUCGAGAAAAAACACUUUUGUACUUCACUGCAAGUUCAAGCAUCGCAAAAGUCGAAUUCCAUCUAGUUGGACAAUCAAGCCCCAACUUUUUCACAUCUAUUUGUAUUUGACGACAUGCCAACUCAAACUUUUCCACCCGUUUUGGCGAUGAACUCCAGUAAGACACACUGUCUCUAACACGUGUAAUACCACUCUCAAUCACUGACAACCCAUCCUUCACAAUUAAAUUCAAAAUAUGAGCCGCACACCUCAUAUGAAAAAAAUUACCGCUCAAUAUCAUUGACUCAGUGGACAACAAUCCCUUCAAUCUUGCAACCAUCGCAUCAUUAGUUGAACAAUUAUCCAAAGUAACCGUGGAUAACUUUCUAUCUAGAUUCCAAUCCAUUAAACACUUCACCAAAAUUUGGGAAAUGCAAUCAGCUGUAUGUGGGGCUUGCACAUAUAUAAAUCUGUUCAAAUUUAAAUAAAUUUUUUUUAAAGUUAAUAAAGUGCCUAUACAGCUAUACUAUACAAAUUUAAAUACAAAAUUUAAAUAUUUAAUAAAGUAAAAAUACCUUAGAAUUCGACUUUGCAAAUGCCAAGAGUUGUCAAUGAAAUGUCCUGUAACAACCAUAUAACCUUUCUUUUGAUUACAAGCCGUCCACAUGUCUGUAGUAAUUGCCACCCUACUAUUAGUAAUCUCCAACAAAUUCAUUGCCUUCCCCUUUUCAAUAUUAUAUAUCUUAAAUAUCUCACUCUUUAAAGUGUUUCUGGACAUAUGCUUCACCAAUGGAUUGCAAUAAUCAACAAAAUCUCUAAAUGACUCAUACUCCACAAAUCUAAGAGGAAGCUCAUGUUUAACAACAACUGUUGUAAGUUUUUGACGUGCAACCAAUGGAUCAAAUUUCUGAAUUCCAAGCUCACCACUUUCGGUUUUCACCAAGUGUUGCUUAUUCUCAAAAACUUCUUCAAUUGUCGGUUGAUUAAAACCAUGAAUUUGUCUAGUAUGUCUAUUCAAAUGACUAGUUCCCGAUCCACAAGAAAGAACCGUUCCACAAUGAUUGCAUUUUGCCUUUGCUACACCACCAACAUUUAAUUUUGUAAAAUGGUCCCAACAAUUUGAAACAACCCUCUGUUUUCUUUUUUUAUCACUCCGCAUUUCUUCUUGAACAUUUUCCGACUCCACAGAUGGAUUUGAAGGCAAAUUAGAAGAUUCAGAAACAUUUUCCAUUAUAAACCUAUACAAAAUUAAAGGAGAUAAAAUAUGGGGCAUUAUAAACCUAUCACCAGAAAAUUCAUCUUCAAAAUGCCAAGUAAAUUAGAGACUGAACAUUCAACAAACCCAUUUCAACCAACCCAACAAGCAAAUUUAUAUUCCCAGACUUUUACAAAUAAUCAUUCUUAACCAAUUUGUCCCAAUCCCACAUUGAUAAAAAAGCAGACAAAGAUGGAAAGAGAAUAAACCUGGUGGGUGGAGGAAUCCCGCGGCUGUGCUGGUGGGUGGGAGGCGCUGUUGGACACGCGGGAGAUGCUGUUGCUGCCUUGCUGGGUGGCUGGACGGUGGGUGGGGUUGGCUGGGUGAUGGCUGAUGCUGCUGCUGCUGGAAUCUGUUGUUGCUGCUGCUGGACGGUGGGUGGCUGAUGGGUGGGAGGCGCUGCUGGAAUCUGUUGCUGCUGUUGGCUGCCGGCGGCGAGAACAGUGAGUGAGAACUGACUUGCUGGGUGGCUGGACGGUGGGUGGGGGUGGCUGGGUGAUGGCUGAUGCUGCUGCUGCUGGAAUCUGUUGCUGUUGCUGCUGGACGGUGGGUGGCUGAUGGGUGGGAGGCGCUGCUGGAAUCUGUUGCUGCUGUUGGCUGCCGGCGGCGAGAACAGUGAGUGAGAACGGAGAGGUGAGUGAGAACUGACUUGCUCGGUGGCUGGACGGUGGGUGGGGUGGCUGGGUGAUGGCUGAUGCUGCUGCUGCUGGAAUCUGUUGCUGCUGCUGCUGGACGGUGGGUGGCUGAUGGGUGGGAGGCGCUGCUGGAAUCUGUUGCUGCUGUUGGCUGCCGGCGGCGAGAACAGUGAGUGAGAACGGAGAGGUCAGGUGAGUGAGAACUGAGAAGUCAGGGAACGAGCACGAGGGAUUUACCGAUUUAGGGAUUUAGGGAUUUUGUGACUUUGUCACAGUUGAAAUUGAAUAUUAUAAAUUGUUUUGUUAUGUUACAAAUUACAAGUUAUACUGUUAACGGGUGCUGAUUGAAAAUUGUUUUGUUAUGUUACAAAUUACAAGUUAUAAAAUUGUUAAUUGUUUUGUUUUAAUUUUAUGAAAUAUUAGCACCGGAUUUUUAAUCGGCACCCGUUUUUAAUUGUUUUGUUUUAAUUUUUUUUUAAUUUUAAUUUUAUGAAAUAUUAAUAUAUUAUAUGAUUUUUUUAAAUAUAUAUUUAUUAUUUAUUAUUUAUUAUAAAAUCCGGGCUUAAGCCCGAAUUUUUUAAUCAGGCCCUUGACUGAGCCCAUAUAUUAUGGACUUUGUUAAUUAUAAGCCCUUAUCCAUAAUUUCAAGCCACGGGCCGGGCUUAAAACCCGCGGGCCUGGGCCGGCCCGGGCUUUUCUGCCAACCCUACUUGCUACGUUGUCGUCUUAUCUAGAUAAUCAUUUUGCCGUCUCUUCGAUUUAUUCGCUUAUAUAGGUUAGAAAUCGAACAAACACUGCAACUUUCUAACUAACACACAGCUAAAAAGAAAAAAAAAAAAAGGGUUGAGUCGUCAUCGUCUCAAUGGCGACGGCUGAGACACAAACGAUGGUGGUAGGGAUCGACGAUAGCGAGCACAGCAUGUACGCGCUUCAAUGGACGCUCGAUCAUUUCUUCGCAAAUUCGACUGUAAAUCCUCCUUUCAAACUCGUCAUCGUUCACGCCAAACCUUCCCCUUCUUCUGUUGUUGGCCUCGCUGGACCUGGUAAAGUAAUUAUAAAUUUAACUAAUUAUCAAUUAGUCCUUUGGUAUUUGUCUUUGCUUUGCAAGUCUUAGAAAUUAAGUAAUAGAUUUUGUCGUACUUUGUUCGAUUUUAAUUUUCGAUUUUAGUUUGUUUGUUUUUUCUUUCUUUCUUGAUGAUCAAGUACCUGGUUUUUAAUUUUAAUUUAUCGCAGGAGCCGCCGAGGUUUUGCCUUAUGUGGACUCAGAUUUGAAGAAGAUUGCUGCUAGGGUUGUGGAGAAGGCUAAAGAAAUCUGUAGCAGUAAAUCGGUAAUGAUUAGUUUGUUAUUUCUUUUUAAUGAUAUUACAAUCUAUAAAUAAAAUACAAUCUUGGGAUGGUCUAGGAUUCUAUAUACACAUACGCUUUUGUAGUACAGUUCAAAAAUCUACCAAGACUAGUUCGGAACACUCCCACUAACAACAUUGGUGGAAAAAGCUAUCUUUAGAUUGCCCCACUCGUGAAAUGAUAAUCUUCAAAAUACUCCUCUAAACAUCAACUUUCCCUCAUUUCUGUUAAGAAGACGAAAAAAUUUUCAUCAAUGCCCCCUGAUUUUUAUUUAUUUUUUAAACCCAAACAGAGGUAAAUUAAGGUUUAGAAUAGUUUAGAGGUACUUCGAGGACUGUCAUUUUAUGAUCGGUAAUCCAAAAUUAACCUUUCUAAAUUGGUAGAUCUGGAUAAGUAUUCAUGCUUAUCCUUUUAUCUUUCCCCAGUUUCAGUAUACCAGAUUAUAAUGGGUAUACUUAAUUGUUUUUCUUCUGGUAUCAUUUCUGUAAAUUAGUAGUUCUGUUUUGUUUAGGUGCAUGACUUUGUUGUUGAGGUGGUGGAAGGAGAUGCUCGAAAUAUCCUCUGUGAGGCUGUAGAGAAGCAUCAUGCCUCCAUAUUGGUUGUUGGUAGUCAUGGCUAUGGAGCGAUCAAAAGGUAUAAAUCUACCAUAAGUUGUUUCCUUUGGUAUCUCAUAUUUUCUCGAGUGGAACUUGGUAUGGUGAACUGUUUUGGUUAUUAUUCAUAUUUUUCAGUUGUAAUGAGGACUCAAAUCUGUAUGUAGUACUAUUUGUAAAAGCUUAUAUGAAUCAAUAUUUUAUUCUUUAUUAUGGAGUAGCUAUAACCAGAUGAAAAUAGAGUGGAAAAAAUGUCAUUGAGAUGUAGUAAAACGCUUUUCUUUGACUGGCCACCCAAAUGCAAAUUGAUACUAAAAAUUUAAUUGGGGAUUUGCCUUCUCCUCUACCUUUCGAAAAAAAAAAAAAAUAUUGAUCGGUUUCUAUUUCAGUAUUCUUUCGCUGGGAAUGUCAUACGUACUAUGGAUUUACAAAUUUUGUUGAAUGAGAGGGUUAGUAGGUUUCAUUUGUUUCCUGUUGGGGAUUCUGAUGAUUUAUAACUGAGAUCGAUUCUUUUGCAGGGCGGUUUUGGGCAGUGUAAGUGAUUAUUGUGCUCAUCAUGCUCAUUGCACGGUGAUGAUAGUGAAGAGGCCUAAAACCAAGCACUGAGCUGCAGUUACUCUGCUUCAUGAUUAGUAAGCACAUAAUACGAUGAUAUGGAUCAGUUGGAAACUGUAUGAUAUCUAUUGUAUCUUGCAUAUUACGAUUGCCGUUGAAAAUGGGAUGUGAUCAAAUAUCAUAAUUUAACUUAUAUUUGGGAUGUAAUCAAAUAUCAUAAUUUAACUUAUAUUUAUGAAAAUAUCUAAACGUUUCAUCAAAGCUCACAUGCUUCAAAUGUUUCAUAGUAAUGUUUUAUGUUCAUUAAUGUUCUCCUUGUUUCUUCGCUUGCUUGUUUCUUUACCCUGCCCUUUGUAGAAUUUCCUUGUUAAUCACAGUAUGAGUGAUGGCAUGAAUAUGUACUGUCAACGGUGCAUAAAAUGAAAAGUUGAUUAGGACAAUAUUUUGAUUUUAAAUAUUUAAAAUAACUUUUAAUUAAUCGAGACAGUUUGUACUUGUAGGGGAAAGAUGCCACUUUAACCUUUUAUUCUUUAUCAUUUUUGGUGAUACUUUUAAUAAUUUGAUAGCCACAUAAAAUUCUGCUGUAAGAGGUGCUUAACACCCAUUCAUUCCGUUAGGGCAAUACAACUCGUUAAUUACUAUUUUCGGUUUCUCUGGAAAAUAGAAAUUUUAUGCACGUGAUCAUAUUUUUUAAAAUAAGAAAUAUAUUCAUAAAUUAAUAAUUUAUUAAUUUAUUAAUUUAAUUAUAAUUAAUAAUUUUUGAAUAAAUAUAUUUUUUAGGAUCCUUGCUAUUAAUUUAUCUGGUUGUAUUCCAAAUAGCUGCAUCACAAGCAAGCGGGUCGACAAUUUCAACGCAUCUAGAAAUUUUAGAACAUUGCAGCCAUCUUGUUUUAUUUAAUGUCUCGGGUAUUUUGUAAGUAGGUUUAAUUAUAUUUAAGCGCUUGGAUUCUAUCCACUUCCUUUAAGAAGGUCUCCAUUAAGACAGAGGUGGAGUAUCAGAGUCUUUGUAGGUAGUUACUGUAUCCGGAUGUCGAUCACCCUUUACAACAUCCGCCAAAGCAAUGGAAUCAUGUUCAGCCAUUUCUUCUGGAGCUAAUUUCACUGUGAGAGCUUCAAUAUUUUCAUUGAGCUGUUCGAACUUGGUGGUUCUAGGUAUGGGACACACAUCAUCACCUUGGUGGUGAAGCCGGGCUAACGCAAGCUGUGCUGGGUGAAUCCUUUUCUCAUUGCUAUUUCAUUAACAUGCUCAAAUAACUUUUUGUUAUGCUCCAAACCGAUUUGACUUGAGUCCUAUUUAUUUUGAUGACAAGUGUCAUUGUUCGUAUCACAUCUGGCGACACUUGUUUGUUUGUGCCUAUAUUAAUUGACACAUGGAUAUGCAAGCUUCUCUAUAGAUUAUAGAAAGAAACAUUUUAACUUUAGAUUGUUUUUACUAAGACUCUAAGAUGAUGGGAACCUUAGAACUUAGGAGAUUUAUCAUAAGUAGUUUGUCUUAGAAUAUGAGCCUACGACAUCGGUACCUUUUGGGUUUUGAAGCCUCAUCAUCUAGGAGGAUUAUCCUAGGUGGUUUGUUUUAGGAUAGAAUCUUAGGACUUUAGAACCUUUUAGCCUUGGACUUUGGGAUCCUUUAGGCUUUGAAGUCUUAUUACUUAGAAGGAUUAUCCUAGGUGGUUUGUCCAGCACUUUGUGGGUUUAAUUGAGAGUAAAUUUAUUAUAUAAGCCUUAUUGAGAUUAAAUUUAUUUGGGCCUUGAUUGAGCCUCUUUUAUUUUUGGUCCAAUAAUGUCAAUAGACUAUUCUUUGUAUAAUAUAAUAUACUCAACAGAAACUAACCCAUUAAUACUAAAAAUUAACCUUGUAGUAUUUUCUGAAUUAUUUUAGUGUUCAAUAUCUACAAUCAUGAUGUUUUUGAAUAAAAGAUACAAAAUGUUUAUAAUGUAAAAAAGAAGUCCGGGUUUAUAUGAUGUAAGAAAUUGUUGAACUAAUACAUGUAUGGAUGUCAAAAGGGUAGCAUAAGAAUUCACGAAUAGAAUUUGUGACUGCUUAUCAUGAAUUAGGUUAAAAGUAAGUAAAUUCAAUAUAAUGAAUUGGGUUAAAAGUUUGAAACUCCAAAGAACUUCUUGCACAAUUCAUGCCUUUCUGUUUCUGUGAUCUCCAUUUCAAAUUGUUCUCCAGACUUUUUAUCAAUAUGAGGUGAUCGCAAAUAUACAUGUAUAAUAUUAUUAAAUAUAAAAUCUUAAAAUUUUUAAGCCCAUAAAAAAAAAUCCAUUUGGUGCCGAGUUUUUAAGCCCAACCUGAGUGUUAGGAAAAAAUGCUUGGGCCAAAUUUGAGUAUUGCUAUAUCUGGGACCGACCUGAGUUUUUACCAUCACUAAGCAUAAUUAGUUGGUUGAAAUAGUUUAAUUUCCAGUAAAAUGAUCUGAAAAAUUGUGAAUCAAUUUGGUAACCUGCUAGAGGCCACUUUGUAACACAGCAAAAGUAUUCGAUUGAUAUGAAAUUAUUGAAUAAUUUUCUGUUGAGGAGGGAUGUCGUGUAACAACAAGAAACAUAUAAUGCUACAAUAAAUUUAGAUAAGCAAUAAUAUUUGGGAUCCCAACAUUUGAGUAUCAACUUGACUCCUAAUGAUAUGUGUCACUCAUCAAUUGGAUGAUGGAUCUCAUAUCUAGUAAAAUUACUUAAUCACCGUUCAAUAGAUGAAUUCCACGUUAGUAGGGACUCAAAUUGGGACUUAUAUGUUGGGAUACCUAACAUUGCUCUUCACAUCAAUGGAGAGGCUCCAAGUGGGCUGGGAAAUUUUUAGAAAAUUUACAAAAAUGCCAUAAUACAAAGUUUACAAAUUGCCACUAUUUUAUUUACAAUAGUACUGCUAUAUUAAUUUACAACUUUGUCAUUCAAAUAAAUAAAUAGAAAAAGUCUUUAAAAAAAAAUAGAAAAAGAGAGCAUUUAUUUUAUUCAAGAUUCCAGAACGUUCUUUCUUUCUUGGCUUCUUCAAUUCUUUUUCUUCUUCUUGGCAAGAAUAGAUAAUAAAUUUAUUGUUUAUUCAAUCAUUUACAAUACACUUAUUAAUUGUUAGGUAGUAAGGACUGAAGAUUAUGUUCCUUAACUUUUGUUCCAAUUUUUUUGUGUAAAAUUAAAUUAUUGUUAGGUCAAAUGAAGAUAAUUUAGCCAUUAAAUUCUGGCAAUCAAAAUUUUAAAUUAAUUUUUGAUAGAUUAGAUAUAUUUGAAAUUGAUUAUUGAUAUAGAUGGAUCAUAGAUUCAAUUCAGUAUUGAUAGAGAGAUAUUAUACAUAAUGUUAAUUUGUUAAUUAAAUAUAUUUUUUGGCUUCUGGAUAGUGUCAAUGUGUGUCAUAGUGACAUGUUAGGCUAUAUAGCUAUAAAAUGUUAUUUUGAUGAUAACAAACCACAUGUUUUGGAUAAACAAAUAAUUACAUAUUAUGCUUUUGAAACAAGAAAAUUAUUUUAUGAAAUUUGUUGUUUUCAAGUUUAUGGUUUAAAUUAGAAAGUUUUGAGAACUUUGAAAUCAAUAAGUAUUAUUUUAAAAUUCUGGAAAUUGAUCUAUUUACAAAGUUUUAUAAAGAUUUGGGACGUAAUAUAAUUUUAUAAAGUUUUAGGGUAACAUUAUAAUGUUAGAAAAUAGAUGUUUCACUGUAGCAAACGGCUAACUGGAUUUAUCAAAGUAGCAAACUGGUUAUCAAGCAAAAGCUCUCUGGAGUAAAAUUGACUAACUGAAAAAUGAAAAGUGACAAACUAGAUGUGCAAACAUUCAAAUCCUUGACUGUAGCAGUAACAUCAAGCGACAAAGUUAACAUAAAACGACAAGCCGAUUAUCACUAAAAAGUCAAUAACAGCUAAUUUUCUGCUCCAACUAUAAAAUGACUUCAAUUAAAUUAAAAUGAAGAGAGACAACCAUUGUUAUCAUUGAGCAAUCCUCUGCAAUUAGAGAACAAAAUUUGUGUAUUCAUUUUAUUUAUUCACACAUGUUGAAUUUUCAUUUGUAAUCAAACAAAUUGUGUGAGGAAAAUUUAUUUGUAAUCAUUUUUGUAAAAUCAAGUUAAGAGGUUGUAAGUGUUGGGAUACACUUGGGUUAAGAGAUUGAAGAUAAUCUCUUGUUGUAAAGGUCUAUUGACUCCUUGGAAGUCAAUUGUAAGAGUUGUUGAAGUCUUGGAGAAUCACUUAGUGAAAUCCUUAAGCCCCGUGAGCUUGAAGGCGUGGACGUAGGCACGAUUGACCGAACCACGUAAAAAUCACAUGUUUGGUCUCUCUUACCCUACCUCUUUAUUUUUCAUUGCACAUUAAUUGUUUAUUUCGAAUUUGGUUACUUUGUUUAAAUUGCAUUAAUUCUUAAUUGAUUAAAUUUUUAGAAGCCCAAUUCACCCCUUUCUUGGGUUGCAUAACCUGUAUUUCAUGAUAGAUUGACGGUUCUAUAGCUUUUAUUAGUGAAUUUGUGAUUACGUCUUUUAACUUCUUUUAUAUUUAUACCUUGUUUUGGCUGCAAUGACCAAACGAGCAUAAACACCACUUUAAAAUAAGAAGAAGGAAUUUUUAUCAGAUUGUAUAGUUAUCUAUAUUAAAAGAGAACUUGUAAGCACCAUCAAUUUAAAUUCGAUAAUAGAUGGGUUUAAUUCUCGAAAGUAUGGUAAGGCAAAACUUAAUAGUGUUUAAUUGUGACUAAAUUGCUUCUUAGAUAUGAUAUAUUUUCUUAUGUAUUAAAAAAAAUUUCUUUCAGAUUUAUAUUUUUAGCCGAGAUAAUAUUUGGAUUUGGAAAAAAUUUAGCCUACCCAUGAAAUUUUUUUUGGCUUCGCCCCUAAUUAAGAUCAUCUAAACUUCUAGAAAUUUCAGAUAAAUAUUACUCCAUUUUGAUUUAUUUAUUGUUUCUCAUAUAUUUGCAUAAACACAUUACAUUGUUUUUGUGCUUACUGCAGAAGACAUUGUUGGGAAAGGACCACCACAAACAGCUGCAAAUUAAGCGGAAAAAAAAAAACUCUUUCCUUCUUUGUGUGAUUAAAAUAGGAUGUGCACUACAAAUAAAUAGACAGAAAAAUAAACUAAUAAAUCCAAAGUAAAAACCAACUACAAGAGACACAUAUUUUUACGUGAAAAACUUAAAGCGAGAAAAAUCAUGGGACUGUAGUCCGCUAUAAUCUUCCAUCAUAUUAAUGGGAUUACAAUACAAAUUCUUCUCUAGAUAAUACUAUGGGCUACCAACAUCAAGAAUCUCAAUAUGGCUUACAGUAACAACCUAAUAACUAUCUCUCCAACAAGUGAGUAUCUCAAAUAAUAGUCAAAGAGAGGAUAAAAUAAAAAUCAAGGCUAGUAGGAUUGUAGAGGCCGAUGCGGCGAUGCCAAGAACUUACGCUAAAAAUUUAGGAGAAAUCAGAGUUAAUAUCACCUUCCGAUCGUCUAAUGAAAGAUUAAAAUUACUAUUCCUAAAUAAAAGCAUCUAUUGUCUUUUCUCUCUCUCUCUCGCCGCUUUUUCACUCUCAAAAUUAUCUAAGGCAGCGUCUUUCACUUCAUUUUAUAGGCAAAUUUCAUUUUAAGUCUCUUUUCAUUACUUAAUUUUCCAAACUUAUUAAACUUUAGCCUUUUGGCCUCCAAAUGAGAUGGGCCCAACAAAUCUCCCUCUCCGAAUCAUGUGGGGGGCACCACCAAUCCCGCUCUCUGCAUACGGCUUUUCAGCUUCUCCUUAGGCAAUGGUUUUGUCAUCAUAUAUGACCCACUCUCCGUUGUGUGUAUCUUCUCAACCUGCAACUGUUUCUUCUCAAGCACGUCUCGUAUCCAAUGAUACCUCACAUCAAUAUGCUUAGAUUUCAAAUGGUAUGUCGAAUUCUUUGCCAAGUGAAUGGCACUCUAACUGUCGCAAUACACAACAAAGAUAUUUUGUUUCACACCCAACUCUUGUAGAAAAUUCUUCAUCCACAAGGUUUCUUUGUAACCUUUAGUGAUUGCAAUAUACUCUUCUUCUAUGGUAGACAAGGCAACACACUGCUGAAGUUUGGAUUGCCAUGAGAUAGCUCCCCCUACAAUGGUGAGCAAAUAUCUUAAUAGAGAUUUUCUCGAAUCAACAUCUCCUGUCAUAUCUGCAUCUGUGUACACUUGUAAUAUAAGUUUGUCACCACCAAAACAUAAACAUGCCUUGGAAGUGGCUUUGAGAUAUCUAAGAAUCUACUUCACUGUUGUCCAGUGCUCUUUGCCCAGAUUGGAGAGAAAUCGACUAACUACUCCAACUGCAUGAGCAAUAUCUGGUCUUGUACAAACCAUGGCGUACAUAAGACCACCAACUGCUGAAGCAUAAAGAACUUCUUUCAUCUCUUUCUUCUCUUUCUCACUUGUGGGACAAUGCUCAGAACUAAGCUUGAAAUGGCCUGCAAGUGGAGAACAAACAGAUUUUGCCUUGCUCAUGUUAAGUCUUUCAAGAACCCUUUCAACAUAUGCUUCUUGAGAUAACCAUAACUUCCAAACUUUUCUAUCGCGGGAAAUCUUCAUGCCAAGAAUUUGUUUCGCCGGUCCCAAGUCCUUCAUUACAAAAGACUUGCUAAGUUCUCUCUUUAGAUUGUCAAUCUUACGAGCAUCCGGGCCAACAAUCAACAUGUCAUCUACAUAAAGCAAAAGAAUAAUGAAAUCAUUAUCUCCAAACUUCUUUAUAAAAACACAAUGGUCGCACAUAGUCUUGCUGAAACCAUGAUUCUCCAUAAAAGAAUCAAACUUCUUGUACUAUUGUCUUGGUGCUUGUUUCAGCCCAUACAAACUUUCUUUAACUUGCACACAAGUUCUUCUUUGCCUUUGACAUUGGACCCUUCAGGUUGCUCCAUGUAUAUUUCCUCCUCGAAGUCACCAUGUAAGAAAGUUGUCUUUAUAUUAAGUUGUUCAGUGUCUAAGUUCAAGUUAGCUGUUAAUCCUAGAACAACUCGGAUAGACGACAUCUUCACCAUAAGAGAAAAUAUUUCUUUAAAGUCAACACAUUUCUUUUAAUCGAAACAUUUCACAACCAAUCUAGCCUUGUAUCACUAUUGUGAGUUAUUUUCAUUCUUCAACCUAUUAAACCAUUUGUUCUUUAGUGCCAUCUUUCCUUUAGGAAGCUUUACUAAGUCAUAAGUAUGGUUUUCAUUCAAGCAUUUCAUCUCCUCUUGCAUGACUUUAACCCACUCGCUUUUAUGUUGGUGAGAUAUGGCUUAUGCAAAACGUUCUGGCUCCCCUUCAUCUGUAAGCAUCACAUACUUAUGUGGAGGAUAUCUAGUGGAAGGUCGUCGUUCUCUGGUAGAUCUUCUUAAUUCUGGCUCAAUUGGUGGUGCAGGUGAUUUUGGAGGUCCCUGGUCAACUAGUUCUGUUGGACUAUCAUUAUUAGUCUCUCCAGCUCCCUCAUGAUCAUUAUGAACUACAGCUGGAGAAACUGAAGUUGGAAUUAUAGGAAUCUCUGGAGAUGACUGAGGCUCGUUACUCUUCUCUGCAUUACCAAAUAUAUGAUCUUCAAGGAAUAUAACCUCUCUACUAAUUUUCUUACCACUAGAUCCCAUAAUAUGUACCCAAAUUCUUUAUGCCCAUAGCCUAAGAAAAUGCAUUCUUUGGCUUUAUCAUCAAGCUUCGAUCUAUCAUCUUUUGGGAUAUGAACAUAUGCUCUAUAACCAAACACUCUUAAGUGUUUAUGAGAGACAUCUUUUCCAGUCCAAACUCUUUCAGGUAUAUUGCUAUCUAAUGGAGCUGAAGGAGAAAGGUUAAUCAAAUCAACUAUAGUAUGCAUAACCUCUGCCUAGAAAGAUUUAGGAAGCUUAGCAUCACAGAGCAUACACUUGACCCUUUCUUCAAUUGCUUUGUUCAUCCUUUCUGCAACACUAUUCUGCUGCGGGGUUUUUGGUACAGUCUUCUCAAGUCUUAUUCCAUGGGAUCUGCAAUACUGCUCAAAUGGUCCUUUGUACUCACCACCAUUAUCUGCCCUGAUGCAUUUUAAUUUUUUUCUUAUCUCUCUCUCAACAUAAGCAUGGAAGAAUUUAAAUUGUCAAGCACCUGGUCUCUGAAUUUCAAAGUAAAAGCUUACACUUUUCUAGAACAAUUAUCAAUAAAAGUCACAAAAUAAAGUGUAUCUCCUAUUAAUCUACUCUGCAUCAUGCAAACAUCUGUGUGAAUCAAAUCAAGUAUUUCUGACUAUCUAGAUGGAGAAAAAUUUUUAAAAACUACUUUGUGUGUCUUUCCAGCUAAGCAAUGAAUACAAGUCUUGAGAGACACACCUAUGAAGCUGGGUAGAAAUCUUUUUCUGACAAGGGUUUCCAACCCUUUCUCACCAAUAUGACCAAGCCUUUUAUGCUAUGUCUCAAUGGCAUAAUUUUUUACAGCCACAUUCACAUCUUUUUUCUUAAUCUUGGCUUCUAACAUAUAGAGGGUGUUUACUUUUUUCCUCUUAGCUAACACUAGGGAACCUUUGAUAAGCUUCUAUUUUCCUUUCACCAAAUGGGUUAGUAUAGCCAUCAUCACCAAGCUUGCCUAAUAUCAGGCACAUGUCUGACAUAAUUAAGCAACAAUUUACAACCGAUGUUGGUUUCCAAGCAAAUAUCACCUAUGCCCCCUUAUUUCCCAUCUGAACAUGGCCAUAAUCACUAUUAACAUCGGAUGUGAAGCUAUCACGACGUGCAGUAAUAUGAAAUGAAGCACCUGAAUCAAUCACCCAAUCACUGGUAUGGCAAGCGAGAUUUAUUAAACUCUCAUAUAAACAAUACCCAAAUCACCAUCAAGUAUGGCUGCAGUGUUCUCUUUGUCAUUUUUCUAAGCAUCACCCUUUUCUUUCACCUGUUCUCUUUUCCACAUUCUACACUCCCUUUUAACGUGACCCAUUUUCUGACAAUGAAAGCACUUGAGGUUUCUCCUCUAGGACUUAGAUGAUCAUUGUUUUGUUGGCAGAAAUUUAUACUUUGGCUUCUUCCCCGUUUUUCUUACUUUUCUGAAACAAGUGCUUCUGACUCAGAGGAAACUGCUUCAACAUUCUUUCUUCUAGAUUCUUCAUUCUGUAACCAUAUACAAAGUUAAUUUCUCAUUCGACGCUGAAUUAUUCACUGACACCACUAAUGUCUCUCGUUAGGCAAAGAACUAAGCAAUAAUAAUACUUGUAACUCAUCAUCUAAUAUACUUUUUAUAGCAGUUAACUAAUCAAGCAAGCACUGAAACUCACUAGUGUGUUCAGUUAUAUUGCGCCCCUCCUUUUAUUUCAAGUUAACAAGCCUUUUCAUCAAAUUGACUUUAUUCUGUAUUGUCGGCUGCUCAUAAAUUGUCUAUAAUUUUCUCCAAAAAAAAAUUCAACCUUAGAUUCUUUUGCUAUAUGGUGGUACACACUUUGAUCAAUCAGUGGCUUAAUAGUACCCACAACCUUCUGGUUUUAUUGAAUCCAUUUCUUAUCAUCUAAAUCGGCGGGUCUAACUUCUUCGCUUUUAAUGGGUUCAUAUAAGUCUUUCAUGUAUAACAAAUCCUCCAUUCUAGACUUUCAAAUACCAUAAUUCCAUGAUUUUAGUUUAAUCAUGCAUGCCAAGGACUUCUCCAUUUAACCACACAAACAAUUAAAAAUACAAAACUUGACGCUCUGAUACCACUCAGUUGGGAAAUAGACUGCCACAAGCAGCUGCAAAUUAAGUAGAAACAAAACUCUUUCCCUCUUUGUGUGAUUAAAAUAGGAUGUGCACCACAAAUAAAUAGGCAGAAAAAUAAAUCAAUAAAUCCAAAGUAAAAUUCAACCACAAGAGAUACAAGAUUAUAGUCUGAUAUAAUCUUCCACUAUAUUAAUGGAUUAUAGCACAAAUUCUUCUCUAGAUAAUAGUAGAGGCUGCCAACAUCAAGAAUCUCAAUAAUCUUAGCUUACAGUAAUAACCUAAUAAUUAUCUCUCCAACAAGUAUGUAUUUCAAAUAAUAGCCAAAGAGAGAAUAAAAUCAAAAUCAAGACCAGUAGGAUUCUAGAGGGCGAUGCCAAGAACUUACCCUCAAAAUUUGAGAGAAAUUGGAGUUAAUUUUACCUUCCAAUCGUCUAAUUAAAGAUUAAAAUCACUAUUAUCAAAUGAAAGCAUCUAUUGUCUUUUCUCUCUCUCUCUCUCACCACUUGUUCACGCUCUAAAUUAUCCAAGGCAACGGCUUUCACUUGCUUUUAUAGGCAAAUUUCAUUCUCCCCUUUAAGUCUCUUUUAAUUACUUAAUUGUCCAAACCUGUUAAACUUUAGGCUUUUGGACCCCCAAAUGAGAUGGAGCCAAUAGAUACAAUGAUUUAGUUUUACUUACAACAUUGCAUAGAAAAUCAAUACAAUAUUCACUAAAUGCUUGUAGAAAGUGCAGAAAGGUGCUGAUAGGGUCUCGUAUCAGAAGACAUGAUGACUUUAUUUUUACUCACAACACAAUGAUUUUACCCACAACAAAACCUAGGAACUACAUGCAAUUGCAAAAUCGGUACUAAGAAGGCAGAAUACCAAAACCCUUUAUGAAGGUUUCCACGAAGACAAAGGUGGAGUAUCAGAAUCCUCGUAGGUACGGGUGACACCCCCAUACCGAUGACUCCUGACAGCAUCAGCUGAAGCAAUGGAUUCAAGCUCAGCAAUUUCUUCUGGAGUAAGUUUCAGUGACAGAGCUUUAAUAUUUUGAUUGAGGUUUUCAAUCUUGGUGGUUCCAGGAAUCGGACACACGUCAUUUCCUUGGUAAUGAACCCAUGCUAAUGCAAGGUGAGAUGGGGUGCAUCUUUUCUUUACUGCUAUUUCAUUAACACGUUUAAAUAGCUUUUUGUUAUGCUCUAAAUUUU
rnacentral:lncRNA from 1 species